rnacentral:lncRNA from 1 species
AGGUUGAAGAGUUUGAAGGAGAUGACGAGGAUGAAGAGGUAAGCUCUGUCUUUGCAGUUCAGCAAAGCAACUAGUGUUGAGUUUUAGUAUUGGCCAUACUUACACGGGUAGCUUAUCGCUCUCCUAUGUUUGCAGGGAUCUGAUGGGGAGGAUGCUGAGGAGGACGACGACGAGGAGAACUGAGGCCUUGGUUGGCUUUGGUGGGUCCUGAUGAAUCGUUGUCUGCAGAUGCUAUGGGUGUCUGAAGGGUGAAGUCAUGUGACCGUUUCGAGACUGUUUCGUUUUGUGUUUGACUUAGCUGGAACUUAGCCUUAGGAGCUGUUGAAUGCGUUAUCGAGUACGUACUGUCGUAUUUUCGACUUAAAGGAGACCUCGAUAUAUCAUAAUCUGGCGAUAUCUAUGACAACAAUUUAACUUGCUGGUGACUCUGGUCGUUGUUGCAGCAAUAUGGUGCGCUUUUCCGAUCUAUGCGAUGCAUCUGUUUGCUAGGAUUCUAGGCGUCUGUUAACCCGCCAUGUAUUUACUCAUAGAGUUUGCUUCCCUUGCUGGCUUCUGGCUGAGCCUGAGUGAUGACGGUGAAUAUUCCAUAGCCGUCUCGCGUAGUUGCUACAGCCGCCGCCGCCUCCCAACCCUAGCUGCCACAGUUGCCACCUUGACACGUGUCGUUUUACUCCCUCCGUCUGGAGAUACUUGUCGGAGAAAUGCAUAAAAAUAAAUGUAUCUAAAACUAAAACUAAAUACAUCUAAAUUCAUUCAUUCCUCUGACAAGUAUUUCUAGACGGAGGGAGUAUUAUUCUUGCUUCUUCGGACCGUUAGUUUUGUUCGAUGCUGUAGGGAAGCCAACCUUAUCGCUGACUGCUUGUCAAAACAUUGCUUUAGUACUAGAGCUUCAAAAUAUUGGGAUUCUUUUCCCCCUGACUUCAUUCUUUCAAAAAUUGUAAAUGAUAUGGUUGUUAUUUCAGGCGCGUGCGAAAAGGUGGUUCGCCGCGCGCUAGUUUUGGUGCGCGGCGUUCGGAGCGCACUAUAAAUUCAGCGCCUCCUCCACGUGCCCUUCCACCGCUCCUACACGCCCUCGCCUUGCCAUGAGCCCUCUGCUGCUCUCUUUCUCACCUUGUCGCCGUCGGGGAAGUUCGGGCUACCGCGGCGUCUGCGCGCCUCUAGUUUCUUCUGUGCCGAGUUCCGGUCCGGUGAGAUGCGCCUCAGCCCUGGCACAUUCGACAUCACCCACGAGGCCGCCCGCGUGUACGACGCGGCAACGUGGCGCCUCCAGUGGCCGCGUAGGGAGAUGAACUUCCUCGACAUGCCGACGCGGGAGCGGGCGCAGGAGCUCGCGCCUUCCCCGCGGCUUAUCACUGACGAGGACCGUCGCGACAACCGGAGGCGGGAGCGCUGUCUCGGCAUCGCCGAGAUGGACGAGGAAGCCAUGGCGCUGUGGCGCCAACGCUUCCCGCGGGACAUCGUCAACGAGCACGAGUUCUACGCGUAAAGGAUGGCGGAGAGGGAGGAGAGGAGGGUGGAGCGAGCCGCCUAUCGCAAGGACAUGCGUACGCGGAAGGCGGCCAUUCUCUUCAACAUCGAGCUAGGAGAAGUGUCGACAUGGGACUCCAAAGACGAGCGGUAUCUUGACGCCUUCAUUGAGUCGGAGGAGGAGAAGAAGGAGGACAUCGCCGAGUCAGAGUCGGUGUCGGAGGAGGAUGAUGACGAGUAGUUGAACUAUUUUUUUAUCUAUCUAUGCUAUGAACUAUCUAUGUAUCGUUUUUAUUAUCUAUCUAUGCCUAUCUAUGGAGUAUCGAGUCGGUGUCGAAUGUGUGUCGAGUCGGUGUCGAAGGAGAAGACGACGAGUAGUAAAAAAUAUAGCGGGCGUCUCCUGGAGCGGCGCGCGUGCAACUUUUUGCAACGGCCGCUGGAGCCAGUGCUCUGCGGCGCGCAAAAACUGGCUACGCUAGCACUGUAAACGUUUUUUAGCGCGCCGCGCGUUGCACGCCUGUUGGAGAUGCUCUUACAACGUCAGAUCGGCUGCCGACGAAGGACGUGUAAGAGUUUGUGUCCGGAUUGGUUCCCUUCAGAUUUUGGGCGUCCGUGUGUUUUUUAAGAAGAGCUUUUGACUGUUUAUUGGUGUGGCGACUUUGACAUCUUGUGUGUUGGUUUGUGGCUUGAUCCGGUUUCUCCAACCCUCUAAAUCUAUGGUGAUGAAUUGUAAACCUGUUCUGCGUGAAUGAUGCUCCAACCGAUGCUGCUUUUUACCGAUUUUUUAUAUCUUGUCUCAAGGGGCGAGUGACUAUUGCAGUGUUUAAAGUUUGGUAUGAUGAGGGCGUUUGUACGUAUCGCUUUUUUUUGUUGUUGGUUCAAUACAAUUUCUAAUCUUCGGCGGGCGGUGUACAAUAAGAAACGAGUAUACUUUUUAAUGUCAUUUUAUUUUUAGUUGUCGUUCUACAUAUGCUUUUCUUGAUAUUAAUCAAAUUUAAGAUGCCUUUUGGCUGUAUUGGUCAAAAAAAUAUAUAUUUCAUAGCCGCUCCUGACCUACUGUCACCUCCCUGUGAAGGCCUCUCGAAAGGAAAAAGAGUUUGUUUGGCGGAAUUAGACCUAACUAGUCAAGCAUAUCUUACCAAGCAUGAGUGUUUUCGGUUAGAAACAAAGCAAGUGGGUAGAGAUGUGUAUUUUUUAGGACCCGAAUUACUUGCGACCAUUCGCCAGGAGGGAGGGGUUGAUCGAACGAAUUUGGUCGCUAGGGCGAGCUGCUCCCGAUGAACGAAUCUACCCCCUCGGUUGUUUGUCAGGGGAAGGGCAUGGAGCCCUGUGUGUACCCCUGGCCUAUGUCAGUGCUCCUCGAAAGCUUCUAGACUUGAAUAGUUCACAUUUUUUUUGAGUCCGAUAAAAUUUAUUUUUGUGCAAAGUCCAAAAACAAUAGAAAACAAUAGCUGAUAUUGGGCAAUGAGUUAAUAGGUUAUUCCAUAAAAAUAAUAUAAACUGAUUUAAAUAGGUGCCAAAAGUAUGCUAAUUUAACAAAAAUAUGGCAUGGAACAAACAGAAGUUAUAGAUAUGUUUGAGUUGUAUCAUCAUGUUCAUGUUGUUUUCCAUGUCGGCAAUGAUGAUAUUAUGGUAGAUGUUAUAUUAGCUUGUGAAUAAGAACAUGUGGAGUAUGCUAGUUUGCAAGUAUGAUUGAUAUGUAGGUGUGGUAGUGUGUUAAAGUUCAUGGUAUGCUUUGAGCUUGAAGAUCCAUGGUGUUGUGUUAAACUUCAUGAUCCAUGUGUACUACCGUGUAGUGUGUUAUACUAGUCUUGAUGCUAACUGAUACGUCUCCAACGUAUCUAUAAUUUUUUAUUGUUUCAUGCUAUUAUAUUAUCAAUUUUGGAUGCUUCAUAUGCUAUUUCAUAUUAUUUUUUAGGAACUGCUUUUUGCUUUUCAGAAAAUCAGUACCAAACGAAGUCCAAAUACGAUGAAACUUUACGGUGAUUUUUUCUUGACCAAAAGUGACCCUAGAAGGUCCAGGAGGAGGUCAGAAGACCUACGAGAGAGCCACGAGCUCACAGGGCGCGCCCCAAGGGGUAGGCGCGCCCCUGAGCUUGUGGGUUCCACGCAACUCCGUUUGACCUAAUUUCACCUCCAUAAAUUCAUGAAUAUUCGAAAACCAACAGAGAGCCACCGAAACACUUUUUCCACCGCCGCAAGCUUGUGUUCUCCUGCAAUCCCAUCUGGAGGCCUUUUUCGGUACUCUACCAGAGAAGGAAUCGAUCACGGAGGGCUCUACAUCAUCCUUGCUGCCUUCUGAUGAUGCGUAAGCACCACAGACCUACGGUUCCAUAGCUAGUAGCUAGAUGGCUUCUUCUCUCUCUUUGAUCUUCAAUAUAAUGUUCUCCUUGAUCUUCUUAGAGUUCUAUCCGAUAUAAUCUUUUUUUACGGUGUGUUUGUUGGGAUCCGGUGAACUGUGGGUUCAUGAUCAUAUUAUUCAUUGAAAGUAAUUGAGCCUUCUGAACUUUAUUAUGCAUGAUUGUUAUAGCUUUGUAUUUCUCUCUGAUAUAUCCGUUUGGUUUGGCCAACUAGACUGAUUUAUCUUCAGAGGGAGAGGUGCUUUGUAGGGGUUCAAUCUUGCGGUGUCCUCACCCAAUAACAGAAGGGGUAGCGAGGUACGCAUUAUAUUGGUGCUAUUAAGGGUAAAACGAUGGGGUUUAAUUAUAUUGCUUGAGUUUACUUUGUCUAGAGCAUGUCAUCCUGCUUAAGGCAUUACUCUAUUUGUCAUGAACUUAAUACCAUAGAUGCAUGCUGGAUAGCGGCUGAUUAGUGGAGUAAUAAUAGUAGAUGAGGGCAUGAGUCGGUCUACUUGUCACGGACAUGAUGCCUAUAUACAUGAUCAUUGCCAUGAAUACAUCACAACUAUGUGCUUUUCUAUCAGUUGCUCAACAGUAAUUUGUUUACCCAGCGUAUGCUAUUGUUUCGAGAGAGAGAAGCCUCUAGUUAAAACUAUGGCCUCCGGGGUCUACUUUAAUCAUAUUAUAAAAACCAAAAAUACCUUGCUGCAAUUUAUUUACUUCUAUUUUCUUUUGAAAUUUGUCUAUCUACCUAUACAAGAUUUGAUCCUUGCAAGUAACGAGUUCAAGGGGAUUGACAACCCUCUUGCCCGUGUUGGGUGCAAGUAUUUGCUUUUCUGUGUGCAGCUGUUGUUCACUAGGAUUUGCGUGGUUCUCCUUUUGGUUUGAUAAACUUUUUCUCACCAAGGGAAAUACCUAUCUCUACUGUACUGCUUCACCCUUCCUCUUCGGGGAAAAUCCCAACGCAGCUCACAUGUAGCAAAAAGAAUUUCUGGCGCCGUUGCCGGGGAGACAUCAUCAAAUCACUACAAGUAACUUCACUCAAACUAUCAUCUACUUGUUCUACCUUUUAUUGGCCUCUCUUUUUCAUCCCCCUCUACUUCUCUAAAAAAAUCAAAAAUACCAAAAAUAUUUUGUGUGCCAUCUUUGCUUGUGUUGCCAUGUGCCUUCUAUUUGCUUGCAUCUCCGCUUGCUAAAAAUUAUUGACAUGGAUCCUCAUCCACUUGCUAAUCUGUUAAAAAUAUCCAACUAUGAUGAACCAAUUGCUAGUGAGUUCAGUGCACUUGAUUAUCUUUAUGAAGUUUUGCUUGAAAAUCGUGAAUCUGAAAAUUGUGAUGAAGUGUUAAAAGAAGAAAUUUAUAAAGUGAUUCAUGAUUGCUCCUGGAAUGGAAAGCAUGAUUGUAAUGAUGCUAUUAUAAAUUCUAUUAAUAUUAGUUGUGCUAAUAAUAUGCAAAACUACAAGCUUGGGGAUGAUGAUUUUGUUAUGUCCACUACUCAUUGUAAUGAUCAUGAUUGGGUGAUGCUUUUAUGAUCUUGAAAAUUUAUUUAGGCCCCAUGAUGAAUAUUUUAUUGAUAAUAAUGUUUGCAAUAAUAUUGAAAGUGGGUUUGGAAGAGUGUCAACUUUAGGUCAAAAGAAUCCCACAUAUCCGGAGAGUGUUCAAUCUUAUGAUUUUUUUGAUAAAAGUGGGUUUGGAGAGGUCAUGACUUUAGUUGAUGUUAAUCCCACUAUUUUGGAAGAGUAUAAACUUUGCAUGCAUGUGGAUCAUGUAGAGAAUAUGUUAUGUGAUAGCUGUAUUGUCGAAUUUGAAUAUGAUCCUACAUGUAAUUAUUUUGAGAGAGAGAGAGAGAGAGAGGAAAAUAUGGUUAUAAAAAUCUUCACGUCGCUAAGUUACCUGUCUUUGCAUUGAAAUUAUUAAUGCUUCAUUCUUCCUAUUUGCAUAUGUAAGGGCAUAUUUCUCCUAAGUGGUUUUGGUGAUUGAUGACAGUGCAUUUGCGUACUAAUCGUGUGCUGAGCAUUUCAGAUAUCUCAUGUCUAGGCACAAGAUGAUUCGGUGCCCUCGGAGCCUAUCGAAGGCAGCUGUUCUCUACAUUUCUUUUUGGUGGAUUUGAGUCAUAGGAAAGCCAUACUAUUAAGAGGGGGUCCGCUUCAAAAAGGUUAGGGUGGAAUCAACACGUACACAUCUGUUCCUUUGCACCACCUUUCCUUCGCUUUGAUGGAGCACCAUCCGUUUAUCCAUGGCUCUGUGAUAUGAAGGCAACCAAAUGCUAAAGCUUCUAUGGUGUGCGGUAGUACUGCUCAAGGGAGCGGUAGUACCGUAGGGGCAAGCGGUAGUACCGCUCCUGGUGAGCGGUAGUACCGCUGCCUCCAGCCCUGAAGCUGAUACAUGCAGAAGUAGGCGCGGAUGCGAUUUUUUACUUCUGCCCUUACAUGGUAGUACCGCGACGGCUGUCCGGUACUACCGUGCCGGACUUUUGCAUAGUUCCAACCUCAGCGGAAGUUGUUAUGGAAGUAAUUUAUUACUUCCGUGCAUUUCUAGUGCCAGUUGAUACCCGCCUUACGGUAGUACCGUAGGGGCGCGCGGUAGUUCCGCUCCGGCGGUUAUACCGCUCGUUGCCUUGUGCAACAUGCCCUCAUCUGGUAACUACCGCACAAGUGGUAGUACUGCAACCCUAUGCGGUAGUACCGGUAGUACCGCGUCGCACGGGCUGAGAGAGGGGAUAACGGUUGGAUCUUUUCCACCACUAUAUAAAGGGGGUCUUCUUCCCCAAGAAGACCACGUCUUCCCUCCCCAAGCCCCAUUGUUGCUCAAACCUCCAUUUUCGCCCGAUCUCUCUUCCUAGCCAAUCAAACUUGUUAAUUUUCUAUGGAUUGGUUGAGAAGGCCCCGAUCUACACUUCCACCAAGAGAAAUUUGAUUCCCCCCACUAAUCCCUCACGGAUCUUGUUACUCUUGGGUGUUUGAGCACCCUAGACGGUUGAGGUCACCUAGGAGCCAUAUUCCAUUGUGGUGAAGCUUCGUGGUGUCGUUGAGAGCCUCCAAUUAAGUUGUGGAGAUAGCCCCAACCUUGUUUGUAAAGGUUCGGUCGCCGCCUUCAAGGGCACCAAUAGUGGAAUCAUGGCAUCUCGCAUUGUGUGAGGGCGCGAGGAGAAUACGGUGGCCCUAGUGGCUUCUUGGGGAGCAUUGUGCCUCCACACCGCUCCAACGGAGACAUACUUCCUCUCAAGGGGAAGGAACUCCUGUAACACAUCCUUGUCUCCACCGGCUCCACUCUUGGUUAUAUCUUACCUUUACUUGUGCAAGCUUUUAUUGUGUUGUAUCCCUUGCUUGCUUGUAUGCUUGUUAUUGUUGCAUCAUAUAGGUUGCUCACCUAGUUGCAUAUCUAGACAACCUACUUUGAUGCUAAGUUUAAUUUGGUAAAUAAAAGCUAAAAAUGGUUAGUUGCCUAUUCACCCCCCUCUAGUCAACCAUAUUGAUCCUUUAAAUUGGUAUCAUAGCCUCGUCUCUUUAUUAAGGACUUUACCAUCCGAGGAGUAUGGUUGACACCGUAGACGAUGGGGAGAAGCACUCUGGUAUGAAUCCAUCCUCGUCUAUGUCCGAUGGGGGAUGCUUGGUAUCUCGUGAGGAGUUCAAUGUGGCUUUGGACACAUUGAAAACCUCUAUGACGACCGAGGUUAAAGGCAUGUUUAAGGAGUUUCUUGAUGGCAUUAAAUUAUCCUCUGCAUUGGAAGUGGUUGAUCCCGCCAACAAGGUGGUGGAUGCUAACUCCAAUAAGGAGGAAGGUAGUAGUGGCCAGGUUCCUUUGCCAAGUGGUAAGAGUGGGAGUGGCAUCUUUGCCCAUGUUGAACCUCCCCUUACCUAUGGAGGACCAGUUCCCUCCACGCAUAUGAAUCAUGUUGGUCCUCCUCCUAAGCUUGCGAAAAAUCUGGAUUUUUCCGCUUGGGUGUAUCGCUUUAAACGCCAUUUAAAUCAUAACUCUACUAAUCUCUGGAGAAUUAUUGAGCAAGGUUUCUACCCGCAUGAUCCAAGCAACUUCACUCCUAGAGAAGCCGCAGAUCAUCAAUUCAACGAGUCCGCUCUCUUCAUUCUCCAAGAAGAUAUUCCUCCUGAAGAUAUUGCACAUCUCCGACCUUUCACCGUGGCCAAGGAAGCAUUGGAGCAUGUUGUUUCCUUGUACAAGGUAAGCGCAAGCAUUCAACUCUCAAACUUUGAAGUGGUGCAAGAUGAAGCCGAUGAGUUUGCCAUGAUUGAAGAUGAAGAACCUCGAGAGCUUUAUUGAAGAUUAACUACUCUCGCGGUCUCACUCCGAGAUCAUGGGAGCAAGGAUAUGGAUGACAAUUAGAUAAAACACAAGUUUCUCAAGGCCAUGAUGCCUUACCACAAGGCCAUGUCCUUCGUCAUCCGUCAAAGGCCGGACUUCCACGCCUUGUCCUCAAGUGAAGUGUUGGAUGAGUUUGUUGCAAUGAGGAUCUUGGACAAGACCGCCGACAAUGCGAUGUUGUGUGCUCAACGGUCAAAGAAUCCCAACCUUGCUUUGAAGGCCAAGGCUAGUGUGGAAGAAAAGGAUGAAGAGGAAGAAGAGGAGAGUUACCUCGAAGACACCAACUAUGCCUAUCAUGAGCACAUGGCUCUUGCUUCACGGCAAUUUUGGGGAAACAAAAAGAACACAGGGCCCAACUUCAACAAGAACAACUCAAGUGGCGCCAAGGGCAAGCAAUGUGUGAGGACAUGCUAUAAUUGUGGCAAUGUGAGUCACUUUGUUGUGGAUUGCCCUUACGAUAAGAGGGAAGACAAUGGUGUCAAGCUUAUCCGAAAAGACAAGGCCAAGUCUUUCCCCAACAAGAACAACUUCACCAAGAAGACCCCUCCCAAGGGUUUGGUGGCACAAGAAGAGUACAAUGAGGAUCAUGAAGAUGGUGAGACGGUUUCCAUGGCCCCCGUUGCCAUUGCAACAACUCCACGGGUGUCCCUCUUCGAUUCACCCAACGAGAACAUCACCGCCAAGUGCCUCAUGGCUAAAGCCACCAACAAGGUAACCCCCAACAUCAAGGCUACCAUCACUAGUAAUCCUUCCUUGACGGAUUGCAUUGAUGAAAGUGAGGGGGCGAAGGAGGAGGAGAAUGAAUUUGAGUCUUUCAUGGGAAAGCUCAAAGGUAAAACCAAGAAGCACUUCAUUGCUCUCUUGGAACAACUUGGUGAAGCCAAUGACAUGAUCGAGGAUCACGAAGAGACCAUCUCUAAGAUGGAAGAGCAUAGUCGCGACUAUGUCGAUGAGAUACCGGAUCUCUCUAAUGCGCUUGAGGAAGAGUGUGUUCAUCGUUUGGCUCUUGAGGGGUCACAGAAUGAUGAUCAUGCUAAAUUAAAGAAAGAUCUUGAUCAUGCUCUUGUUGUCUCUCGUGUGUUCAAUUUCGAGAAGGCCAAACUUGGGGUUAACCAUGCUAGACUCGAGGAGGAGUUUGAUCUACUUGACAAGGCUCACAAGGCCUUGAAAGUGUUCAUGCUAGCCUCAAAGAGUCUCAUGAUCAACUCCAAGUGAGGCUAACCAAGGAGAAAGCCAAAUUUCCUCAUAUGGUUUUAAAUGAUAAUGCAAAUGCUACUAACUCGUGUUGUGAGCAUGUGCAUCUUCUGGAGGAGAAUGCCAAGUUGAAGGAGAAACUUGAGAAAGGCCUUGCGUCUUGCAUACAAGGUGAGAAUAACCUGAACGACCUUUCGAUCAAUCAAAAGGAAGUUGUAGCCAAGGAGGGGACUGGGUUUGCACCCAAGUCCAAGAAGAAGAAGAAUGACAAGACCAAACAACCUCCUCCUCUCAAGCAAAGGUUUGUGAAGGAGGGAGACAGUACUCCUAAGGAGAAGAAGAAUAAUGCGAAGGGUGGUGGUGUCAAGAAGGGCAAUGCCACUCCUUCCAACAAAGCUAGUGACUUUAACUUUUCUUAUGUGUUAUGCCGUGCUAGUGAUGGGCAUGUUUAUGCCAAAUUUGCUGGUUAUUCUUAUGAGUACAUUGAAUGGUUUAUUUGGGUUCCUAAGAUCCUUGUUGCUAACAUCAAAGGACCCAUUACAAAAUGGAUACCUAAAACUAAGCAUUGAUCUCUUGUAGGUAUUUGCUUCCGGUGGGGGAUCAUGGUUGCUCGAUAGUGGAGCCACAAAUCAUAUGAUCGGAAGCAAGGAAUUGGUGGUGAACGCCCACAAGGUUUCAUCUAUGCCCACCAAUGUCGAAAGGGGUGAUGCCUCAUCUUCUAAGGUAUUGGGUUUUGGCAAGGUUGUCAUUUCUCAUGAUCUCACGAUCGAGAAAGUCAUGCUUGUUGAGUCCCUUGCAUACAACUUACCUUCGGUUCGUCAACUUGCGCUCAUGGGCUUUGCCACUUUCUUUGAUAUUGAUUCUGUGUCCCUCUUGUGGAGCAAAACUCUUAAAGUAGCUUUUGUUGGGCAUGUCGAGAACGGUCUUUAUGUGAUUAACUUUUUAGAGCAACCCAUUAAGACCGCGACAUGCCUAAUGGCUAAAGUUGACGUGGGAUGGCUUUGGCAUCACCGUUUAGCCCAUGUCAAUAUGAGAUCUUUGCAAAGUCUUCUCAAGGGGACCCUAUCAUUGGACUAACAAAUGUUAGUUUUGCCAAAGAUCGUGCUUGAAGUGCUUGUAUCGAAGGAAAGCUACAUGAGACGCAGUGGCGAAGCCACGUUACACCUAUGCAGUCGAUUGACUACACAUGAUUCUUGUAUGUCAUUGACCCCCAGGUCCACAUGCCACGUAAAUGAACGAACCAAAAAGGGAAUUUGACUACGUGGCCUAUCUACCAUCUGCUAUUUUGCUUGGGUUAAGACUAGUUGGGCCACUACUGGGCCAUAUAGUAAGAAGUCGAAAAUCACUUCCCUCACGGCCAUUUUUACUCAAAAAUAAAACUAACCUCAUAGUUGAUCCCCAAAUUACAUGAUCUCCUUCAACUACUCCAGCUACCGCAUGCCUAUCCAAUGAGCGUCGAUAGCCGCCGCAGCGUGCGUCUUCCCAUCCUUUGUCAGACGUUGACGAUCUCUAAUCUGACCAUGAGAUGUGAGGAACGACCCCCUCCGGCGAGCCACGGCCACCUACCCACGGUUGCACACUCAUUGUCCGUCACCUUGAUCACUACUUUCACACUAGUCGGCACUCUAUAUCCUAUCCAACACCAGGAGGAGGCCCUCCACUCUCCCACUUUUAUUUGUAAGUUUUAUCUGCCAACACUGCAAUACUAUUCCUUGUCUUUUUUUUUUCUCGCAAGCAAUAUUAAAAAGUAAGAAUUUUUUUGUUUAGAAUAAGAAUUGCAUUUUUCGCGAUGAAAUAUAUCACGUUGAUUUCUGCAACAGGAAUAGGCGACGAUCUAUUGUAUUGUUGUCUCAUUACAUAUGUUGAAACUGAUAUAUUCAAGUCUAAUGCCGACCCCUUCACGAUAUGCAUGAUCACAAAGGGCUGCUACAUAAUAUAUGCUGGUAGUAAAGUAUGAUAUUUAUGUUCCUGUUUAAUUUGUCUAUAAAUAUUUCCAUUAGAAUUGCUUGACAUCACAAGGUUUUGAUCCUGGCACCACCACUGAUGAGACGGCUCACCCUCACUAUCAUCUACUCGGCGAGGCCUUUUGAGCUCCUUCACAUGGAUCUUUUUGGGCCUCCGUCCUUUGAUAGUCUUGGGGGUAGAAAGUAUUGCUUGGUGAUUGUGGAUGAUUAUUCAAGAUACACUUGGGUGUACUUCAAGAGGAAGAGUGAGACCCAAGAAACCGUCAUCGACUUUGCAAAUGGAGCUCAGCGUCAACACAAUGCAAAGAUUUUAGUGAUAAGAAAUGACAACGGCACUGAGUUCAAGAACAACACCUUGGAUGAGUUUCUUAGUGAUGAGGGGAUCAAGCAUCAAUAUUCCGCACCUUACACCCCUCAACAAAAUGGUGUAGCGAAGAGGAAGAACCAGACAUUGAUGGAUGCGGCAAGGACCAUGAUGGAGGAGUUCAAGUCUCCGUACAACUUUUGGGCCGAAGCCAUCAACACCACUUGUCAUGCAUCCAAUCGACUCUAUCUCCGCAAAGGCUUUAACAAGACUCCAUAUGAGAUACUUACCGGCAACAAGCCCAACCUCAAGUAUUUCCAGGUGUUCGGUUGUGAGUGUUUCAUUCUCAAGAAAGGUGUUCGUUUGUCUAAAUUUGAGGCUAAAGCUCAUGAGGGCAUAUUUGUUGGUUGUGCUACAAACUCUCAUGCUUACCAUGUCCUCAACAAGUCCACAUGACUCAUUGAGGAGACGUGUAACAUGGAGUUUGAUGAGAAUAACGGCUCCCAAGUGGAGAAAAGUGGUACUUGUGAUGUAGGUGAUGAAAUUCCUCCCCAAGCCAUAAGAAGAAUGGGUGGUGGCCAUAUCCUACCCAUUGAGGAACCCCUUGUGGUCAAAGGAGAAGGACAAUGUUCCACUCAAGUGGAACCAUCACCAACCCAAGACCCACACACUUCUGAAGAACAAAGUGAAGGCCCUCAACCAAAUGAACAAGAUCAAGGACAAGAUCAACCUCAAGAUGGUGGAGAUCCACCAAUUGAUGCCCAAGGUCAAGUUCUUGCUACCGAGAAAGUUCAAGAUCAAGAUCGAGCUCAAGCUCAAGAAUAAGCUCAAGACUUACAGCUCCUCAACUCUCUGUUGAGGAGCAACUGGAGCGUCGUGCCGCGAAGAUUGCUUCCAAGCUCGCUACCAAAGAGAAUCUCAUGAAGAAUGUGCUUGGAAGCUUAAGAAAGGGGGUAAGCACUCCUAGAAAAUUAGCAAACUACUGUGAACAUCAUGUGUUUGUUUCUUGUGUUGAACCCCCAAAAGUCUAUGAGGCGCUUGAGGAUCCGGAUUGGCUUAAUGCCAUGCAUGAAGAACUCAACAACUUUGAGUGCAACAAGGUAUGGGGAUUGGUGCCAAGGCCAAAGGAGAACCAUAAUGUCAUUGGAACCAAAUGGAUCUUCAAGAACAAGCAAGAUGCUCACGGGAUUGUCAUUUGCAACAAGGCUCGUUUGGUGGCACAAGGCUACUCCCAAGUCAAGGGUAUCGACUAAGGUGAAACCUUUGCUCCCAUUGCUCGCCUUGAAUCUAUUCGUUUGUUGCUUGCUUAUGCUUCUCAUCACAACUUCAAGUUGCAACAAAUGGAUGUGAAGAGUGCUUUUCUUAAUGGUCCUCUUAAUGAGUUGGUGUAUGUCAAACAACCCCUGGGGUUUGAGGAUCCCAAGCUCCCCAAUCACGUGUACCAACUCGAUAAGGCGCUCUAUGGCCUUAAACAAGCCCCAUGUGCAUGGUAUGACCACCUUACCGAGUUGUUGCAAGAUCGUGGGUUUGAAAUUGGGAAAAUUGACCCCACUAUUUUUACUAAGAAGGUCAAACGGGAGUUGUUUGUAUGCCCACUAUAUGUUGAUGAUAUUAUCUUUGGUUCUCCUAACAAAGCUUUCAAUGAGGAGUUUGUCGCACUCAUGACUACAGAGUUUGAGAUGUCCAUGAUGGGAGAGUUGAAGUUAUUUUUUGGGUUCGAAGUCAAACAAAGAAGAGAAGGAAUCUUCAUAAACCAAGACAAAUACACUCAAGACAUGCUCAAGAGAUUCAAGCCGAGUGAUGUCAACCGGCGUCUACACUAAUGCCUACCAAAUGCCACUUGACAUUGAUCCCAAUGGUAAAGCGGUGGAUCAAAAGGUAUAUCGUUCUAUGAUUGGCUCCUUGCUUUACUUUUGUGCAUCUGGACCAGAUAUCGUGUGGAGUGUGGGAAUUUGUGCACGGUUUCAAGCCUCACCUAAGGAAAGCCACUACAUGGUGGUCAAGUGAAUCUUUCGAUAUUUGGCUCAUACCCCAAACCUUGGCUUAUGGUACCCUAGAGGAGUAAACUUCAAUCUUGUGGAAUUUUCGGAUUCGGAUUGAGCGUGAGACAAAAGUGGAUAGGAAGUCACCUUCCGGAGGGUGCCAAUUUCUUGGUUUGUCUUUGGUGAGUUGGUCUUCUAAGAAGCAAAGUUGUGUGUCUCUCUCCUCCACCGAAGCCGAAUAUGUGGCCGCCGGUAGUUGUUGUGCUCAACUUCUAUGGAUGAGGCAAACUUUAAAGGAUUAUGGUGUCACUUGUGACAAAGUGCCUCUUUGGUGUGACAAUGAAAGUGCCAUCAAGAUUUCUCUCAACCCGGGGAAACACUUCAAGACGAAGCAUAUUGAGAUUCGGCAUCACUUCAUCCGGGAUCACAUUAAGCGAGGGGAGAUUGAUCUUAACUAUGUCAACACUCAUGAUAACCUUGCAUAUAUUUUCAUGAAGCCUUUGGAUGAAGCAAGAUUUCGCAAGUUAAGGCAUGAGCUAAAUAUCAUCGAUUUGAGCAAUGUGGCCUGAACCUUUGCACACCCCACCAUACUCAUCAUGUUGUCUUGUUUAGGUGUAGGCACGGACAUAGGGGGAGUGUUGUUCUCUCAAUGAACUCUCCCUCCCCCAUUAUGCAUAAAUUGAUCAACUCUUUCACAUUUACAAUUUUUUAUGGUACUUGUGCUUCAAAGACGAGUUUUGGUCAUGGGCCCAAGGCUAAUUCUUUGCGAUACCAUACCAAUUGACUCAAACAUAGGUGGAUCUGGCCACCGCCCUCUCUUCAAUGAGAGGUUUUAGUUCGUUGUUUGGUCCUCAUUUUCUCUUUGCUUACCUUUUAGACCUUGUUUGUGGUUAAGUUGCUUCUUUGGUGCUCUCUCUUGUGUGUCCUUUUGCUUGAAGCUCUUUGUUUUUUCGUCGUGCCUUUGUGUCUCCCAUUUUCCUUAGCUUGUUUGUGUUGCAAAUGCCGGUUCAUUUCUCUCUAACCAAAACAUGCACUUUCUUGGGCAUGCGGUACUACAGUGUGGCAUGCCAUGGUACUACCGCUGGAGGUGGGUGGCUCUUGUACUUGCAUAGCUACGACCACAGCACGGUAUUACCACCUCCAGCACGGCAGUAAAUUUUUACUGCCGCUAGAAGAGCAGUACUACCACCCAAUGUGCGGUACUACCGCCCGGGCUGUACUACCGUGAUGACCUGCGGUACUACCGUGCUGUCGUGACCGCAUGGGGGUUAAGCACGGGCAGGGGGAGUUCCAACUCCCCCAUACCCAUUCAUCUCUUCCCCUCACGUCUCUCUCUCCUACCCAAUAAUGUCGGCGGAGGACCUCGUCGGAUCUCCAUCUUCGGCCACUCUCCUCUCAUUUCCACCGGUGGGAUCGUUCCCCACCUUGUCCUCUUGCCAUGGAACCCGGUAUCUCCCCUAGUCCUUCUCUCUUUGCCUUUUUUUUGCAUCUAGGUUUUGGGGGAAAUAUGAGUUGGUCUUGUGAUUUUUGGCUAAAUCUUUGCAAGAGGAGAUAGUUGGAGAGUGCUUGUGUAGUAGAUAUGUUUUUUUGGUGUGAUACAACAACGUAGUUUUUGAUCGAUGGUAGUACCAUUUUCUAUUUAUGGAUGUUCUCAGAUCCGUUUGUGCGAGAUCCUCCCCGUGUGGUACUACCGCUCCGCCUGAGCAAGGUACUAUCGCUGGCCCCUGUGGUACUAUCGUGGUCAGAGCAGUAGUAAAAUUUUACUUCCGCGCCCAGUUCAGUACUACCGAUUGACUUAAAAUUAUUUUGUUUUGUCACAUCCAAUCUCAUUUCUAGUUGUUUCAUUUAUUGGCCUUGGUCUUUGCAAUAAUCCUUCUUGCUCUUCUCGCGUGUUUGCGUUGUGUGUCAUAGGUGGUGGCUCCGGUUCCGUUGCUAGGCGCUUGAAUGCCAUCCAUGAUACAAGCUCACAACAUCUUCGCAACUAAGAAGCUCCUGAGGGGUCCAAUGCGCCAACAUGCCACUUCAAGACAACAACCACCAAGAUCAAGGAGCCAGUUGUCAUCCUGGACGACAUGCCUCUACCAGACUUUCAGCUUCGAAGGAAGCUCAACCCCUAUAUCAAGCCUCGAGAACAAAUAAGGGGCAAUGACUUCUUUUGGACCAAGCAACAAAAUCUCAUCUACCUAGAUGUGAUCAAGGCCAAGCAGAACAUCUACAUACCCAUUCAUUGGAUUGAUAUGGAGCAUCUGAGGAAGAACCAGGCAUAUUUUGGUGAGCCUCUGGAUUUGGUGGAGCAGUUUGGUAUUGAAGAGAUCAUCACGUUCCACCUUGACUAUGACCCAGAGAUUGUGGCUCAGUUUUUUGCUUCUGUCCAUUUCCACUCGGAUGUGAAGUGGAGCAUGACUUGGAUGACAAAUGGAAAGAAGACGACCGCUGAGUGGAAGGAGUUCAUGGAUAUGUUGCACAUUCAUGAUGAGGGGCUAGAUGUGCCUGUUGGUAUCCGCCCGCAUGCCAACCCAAAGUCCGCUUCCAAGAACAAGUUUCAACCAUACCUGGUGGAGAAUAAUUUACCCAAUGGCAAGAAGUCUUAUGUGCUGAACCCAUUUCUCAACAUCAUGCACCGGAUCUUUCGCAGCUCUCUUUUUCCUCACAUGGGCGACAAGGACAAGGUGCAUUCCUAUCUUAUGGACAUGAUUCUUAUUUGUGAGGAAGCGCCUCUUCGACAACCUGGACCACUUGAUGUCUCUCACAUCAUGUGGUGUGAGCUUUAGUCUGCUGUGUUCCAUCGUAAGGUUACCAUCUAUGGACCCUAUUUGCACCUCUUAAUUUAGAAGACUUGGGAGAAGCUCUUUUCGGGUGAGGAGUUUCAUGCUCUCAACUGGUUUCGCCAUGAGCCCAUUAAGCUGCGAUAGAAGAACAAGUGGGCUAACACCACUACCCGGGCUAAAGCAGAGGCUGCCCGCAUGGAUAUUGAUGAAGAUGAGAUUGCGGAGGAGGAGGAGGACAGUUCUGAGUAUGAGCCUCCCUCCUCAUCUUGGGCUUCGAAGCUCAAGGACAGGGUGGAGACUGUUAUGCAUAUAGGCCAAGGGGCAGUACCAGACCCAUGUUGCUCAGAAGGAGAGUCGCCAGCACGACAAGCGGAUUUUGAGGACGCUUGGCGAGCAUGUCUCAAGUGGGUCUAAGAAGACCAUCACACCUGAGGCUGCUUGGAUGAAGAAGAAGGGAUAUCAGUGGGUUGAGCCAGAUGAGGAGUCCAUUCCUGCUGCUUCUGAGGAGGAGAUUGUUGGGUGAUCACUACAGUAGGAGCUACCACCCGUGUCUUAGGUGUCCUCUCUGCCUUUUUAGUGUCUCGAUGCCAAAGGGGGAGAGAGUGUAGGAUUUGCGAGUACUUUGUUUUGUCUCCUUGCUUUCGUUGAACAUUUGUCGUUGCUUUGGUUUGUGUUAUUUUCGUGUGAGAUUGGAGACUUAUUCUAUCAUACGGUGUGAGACAUAUGCCUUCACUCUUAUCCUUUUAUUGUCAAGUAGAUUAGUAGCUUGUGAGUUUAUUUUGUCUUGUGCCCUUAUUAUCAUGCUCACUUGCUAUACCUUGCUUACAUGCUUAGUGUCUCUCAUCUUGUUGCAAGGAUUGCCUUGUCUAUAAAAUAUAGGGGGAAUGUUGAUCCUAGUGUGUGUGUUUUGCAGUUCAAAGCAUAUCUAUAGAAUGCACACAUCUAGGGGGAGCCUAUCUAUAUUUUAUAGAUUUUGGGUUUGCUUAUGCUCAUUAUAUAUCUCUAUGUGCAAAUCCCGUAUUGUCAUCAAUCCACCAAAAAGGGGGAGAUUGUAAGGGCAUAUUUCUCCCUAAGUGGUUUUGCUGAUUGAUGACAAUGCAUUUGCGGACUAAUCUUGUGCAUUGAGCAUUUCAGAUAUCUCAUGUCUAGGCACAAGACAAUUCGGUGCCCCUCGGAGCCUAUCGAAGACAGUUGUUCUCUACGUUUCUUUUUGGUGGAUUUGAGUCGUAGGAAAGCCGUACUAUUAAGAGGGGGUCCGCUUUGGAAAGGUUAGGGUGGAAUCAACACGUACACAUCUGGUCCUUUGCACCACCUUUCCUUCGCUUCGAUGGAGCACCAUCCGUUUAUCCAAGUCUCUACGAUAUGAAGGCAGCCAAAUGCAAAGCUUCUGUGGCCUGCAGUAGUACUGCUCAAGGGAGCGGUAGUACCACAGGGGCAAGCGGUAGUACCGCUACCUACAGCCAUGAAGCUGAUACAUGCGAAAGUAGGCGCAGAUGUAAUUUUUUAGUUCCGCCCUUACGCGGUAGUACCGCAACGGCUGUCCGGUACUACCGUGCCGGACUUUUGCACAGUUCCAACCUCAACGAAAGUUGUUACGUAAGUGCCAAUUGAUACCUGCCUUACGGUAGUACCAUAGGGGCACGUGGUAGUACCGCUCCGGCGGUUCUACCGCUCAUUGCCUUGUGCAACAUGCCCUCAUCUGGUCACUACCGCACAAGCGGUAGUGCCGCACUCUGCAGCGGUAGUACCAUAACCCUAUGUGGUAGUACCGCGUCCUUGUGCAGUAGUACCGCGUCGCGCGGGCUGAGAGAGGGGAUAAUGGUUGGAUCUUUUCCCCUACAAUAUAAAGGGGGUCUUCUUCCCGAAGAAGACCACAUCUUCUCUCCCCAAGCUCCAUUAUUGCUCAAACCUCCAUUUUCACCUGAUCUCUCUCCCUAGCCAAUCAAAUUGUUGAUUUUCUAGGGAUUGGUUGAGAAGGCCCGAUCUACACUUCCACCAAAAGAAAUUUGAUUCCCCCGCCUAAUCCCUUAUGGAUCUUGUUACUCUAGGGUGUUUGAGCACCCUAGACGGUUGAGGUCACCUCGGAGCCAUAUUCCAUUAUGGUGAAGCUUCAUGGUGUCGUUGGGAGCCUCCAAUUAAGUUGCAGAGAUAGCCCCAACCUUGUUUGUAAAGGUUUGGUUGCCGCCUUCAAGGGCACCAAUAGUGGAAUCACGACAUCUCACAUUGUGUGAGGGCACGAGGAGAAUACGGUGGCCCUAGUGCCUUCUUGGGGAGCAUUGUGCCUCCACACCGCUCCAACGGAGACGUACUUCCUCUCAAAGGGAAGGAACUUCAGUAAGACAUCGUCUCCACUGGCUCCACUCUUGGUUAUCUCUUACCUUUACUUGUCCAAGCUUUUAUUGUGUUGUAUCCCUUGCUUUCUUGUGUGCUUGUUCUUGUUGCAUCAUAUAGGUUGCUCACCUAGUUUCACAUCUAGAUAACCUACUUUGAUGCUACGUUUAAUUUGGUAAAGAAAAGCUAAAAAUUGUUAGUUGCCUAUUCACCCCCCUCUAGUCAACCAUAUCGAUCCUUUCAACAUAUGUGAGAUAUUGCUUGUCUUGAUAAUUUGUUUUCCUAUAAAAUGCCUAUGCAUAGGAAGUAUGUUCGACUUAAAUGUGGAUUUUACAUGUUUUAUGAUGCUUUCUUUGUGCUUCAAUUCUUGUCUUUCAUGCGAGCAUCAUUGAAAUCUCAAGCCUAUCUUAAUGCUAUAAAGAAAGAGCUUGUUGGGAGGCAACCCAAUAGUUAUAAUUUUGCUUUUUAUUUCUGUUUUAGGUUUUGACAUGAUUAUUUCUACUAUAAUGAUUGUGUUUUUAUGUUAGUGUUUGUGCCAAGUAAAUCCUUUGGGAUGAUUUGGAUAAUAGUUGACUUGAUUCCGUGAAAAAAUAGAAACUUUUCCGUCCAGUGCUGGAAUUACUAUAAUUCACUGGCACGUGAUAAAAUCCUAAAUUAAAAAAAAGAUUGAUAUACAAAUUUCCCACGUUGUCCUAAUUUGUUAGAAUUUUUGGAGUUAAAGAAGUAUAGUUUUUGUUCAGAUCAUUACAGACUGUUCUGUUUUAGACAGAUUCUGUUUUCUAUUGCAUAGUGUGCUUGUUUUAGUGAUGCUAUGGAUUAUAUCGGGGGGUAUACAUCAUGGAGAAGUUAGAAUAUAGUAGGUAUUACACAAGAAUAAAUUAUGAAUGAGUUUAUAAUAGUACAUAAAGUUUAUUAUUUGUCUAUUACACUAUGGAUCUCACAAGGUUUUUGUUGGGUUCUCUGUGCUGAAGUUUUCAUGUUUUGGGUGAGAUCACGAUGGAUGAAGGAAUAAGUAGCGGCAAGAACCUAAGCUUGGGGAUGUCCAAGGCACCCCAAGGUAAUAUUCAAGGAAGACACAAGCGUCUAAGCUUGGGGAUGCCCAUGAUGGCAUCCCCUCUUCCGUCUACAAUCUAUCAGUAUGUUACUUGGAGCUACAUUUUAUUCAUCACAUGAUAUGAAUUUUGCUUGGAGCGUCUUGCGCCAUUGUUUUUGCUUUGUUUGCUUUUUAGUUUGCCAUAAUCAUUGUUUGCUGGACACACCUUUUGAGAGGGACACACAUUUAUCGUUAUUUUUUAGAAUACUCUAUGUGCUUUACUUAUAUCUUUGGAGCUAGACAGUUGCUCAAGUGCUUCACUUAUAUCUUUUAGAGCACGUAGUGGUUAUAUUUUAUAGAAAUGGUUGCACUCUCAUGCUUCACUUAAAUUGUUUUGACAGUCUAUGAAUGGUAGUUCAUAAUUUGCAUGUGUUAUAAGAUUAGUCCAAGAAGGAUUGAUGCACGAACCAAUAUAGGCAACCAAUAUAUCAGCACAUUUAAGAUUUCUAGCCAUACUUUGCUUAACUAACCAGUUGCUAGAAAUGGUAGAUAUUGUUGCCCCAGUAAAAAAUUCUAAGGAUGCAAUAGGAAAAGUUCUAGAAGUUCAAAAACGCAGAAAAAGGGUUUUCUGAACAGAUUCUAAACCAAAAUAUAGAGUAUCAAAUUGCAUCUGCUAGGAUUGGUACCGGUCCUAAGACUGAUGAACGUGACACAGUUACCUUUCCAAAAUUUGCUAGCCUCUUCGAUACCGUGCAUUGCCCUUUCUCACCUCGAGAGUUGGUGCAAACUUCGUGAGUGCAUCCAAACCCUGUGGUAUGAUAUGAUGUAUCACACAUAAUCCUCCUUAUAUCUUCCUCAAAACAACCACCAUACCUACCUAUUAUAGCAUUUCCAUAGCCAUUACGAUAUAUAUUGCCAUGCAACUUCCACCAUUCGGUGUUACUACUCGUGUGUUCAUCGUCAUAUUGCUUUGCAUGAUCAUGUAGAGCAUACAUGAUAUUUGCGGCACAACCACCAUUCAUCACUAUUAUACAUGUUAUGCUAGAUCAUUGCACAUCAUGGUACACUGCCAAAGGCAUUCAUAUAGAGUCAUAUUGUUUCAGUUAUCGAGUUGUAAUAUUGAGUUUUAAGUAAAUAAAAGUGAGAUGAUCAUCAUUAUUAGAGCAUUUUCCUAGUGAGGAAAGGAUGAUGGAUACUAUGGUUCUCCCACAAGUCGGGAUGAGACCCCAAAUGAAAAAUAAAAAAAGGAAAAAUAAAAAGAAAGAAAGUAAAAAAGAAUGAAAUGAGAGAAAAGGGAGAAGGGGCUAUGUUUACUAUCCAUUUACCACACUUGUGCUUCAGAGUAGCACCACGUUCCUUCAUAUAGAGAGUCUCCAAAGUUAUCACUUUCAUAUACUAGUGAGAAUUUUUCAUUAUAGAACUUGGCUUGUAUAUUUCGACGAUGGGCUUCCUCAAAUGCCAGAGGUCUUCAUGAGCAAGCAAGUUGGAUGCACACCCACUUAGUUUCCGUUGAGCUUUAAUACACUUAUAGUUCUUAGUGCAUAUGUUGCAUGGCAAUCCAUACUCCUCGCAUUGACAUUGAUUGAUGGGCCUCUCCAGCCCGUUGAUCAGCCGCGUUGAUGUGAGACUUUCUUCCUUUUUGACUUCCCUUAUUGAUAUCUACCACCGCAUUCUAUUCCAGCUAUAUUGCUAUAUCCAUGACCCACGCUCAUGUAUUGCGUGGGGCUGAAAAUGCUAAAGCGCGUUAGAAGUACGAUCCAAUUGACUAGUUUGACACCGAGGUGCUUGAUACUUCUCCAACAUAUCUAUAAUUUUUUAUUGUUCCAUGCUAUUAUAGUAUCAAUCUUGGAUGUUUGUUAUGACGUUAUAUAUCAUUUUUGGGACUAACCCAUUUCCAAGUGCCAGUUGCUGUUUUUUGCUUGUUUUUGGCUUUACAGGAAAUCAAUAUAAAACAGAGUCCAAACUGAGAAAAAACUUUGGAUAAUUUUUUCUGGACCAGAAGGGACCCUGGAAGGUUCGGGAGAAGACUCGAUGAGCCGUGAGGGAGCAACAAGCUCGGGAGGCACGCCCCAAGGGGGGGGGGGGCAGCGCCCCCAGGUUUGUGGGCUCCUCGUGGCACCUCUUAACCUAAUUCCACCUCUAUAAAUUCUCAAAUAUUCCCCAUACAUCAGAGAGCAACCCAAAAUACUUUUUCUACCACCACAAGUUUCUGUUGUCGCGAGAUCCCAUCUACAGACCUUUUCCAGCACUCUGCCGGAGGGGGAAUUGAUCACAGAGGGAUUCUACACCAACCUUGCCGCCCCUUCGAUGAUGUGUGAGUAGUUUACCAUAGACCUAUGGGUCCAUAGCUAGUAGCUAGAUGGCUUCUUCUCUCUCUUUUAUCUUCAAUACAAUGUUCUCCUCGAUGUUCUUGGAGAUCUAUUCGAUGUUAUCCUUUUUGCGGUGUGUUUGUUGGGAUCCGAUGAAUUGUUGGUUUAUGAUAACAUUAUCCAUGAAUAUUAUUUGAGUCUUCUCUGAAAUCUUUUAUGCAUGAUUGUUAUAGCUUUGUAUUUCUCUCUGAUUUAUCUGUUUGGUUUGGCCAAAUAGAUUGAUUUAUCUUGUAAUGGGAGAGGUGCUUUGUGAUGGGUUCGAUCUUGCGUUGAUCAAUCCCGACAGAAAGGUACAUGACACGUACUUGUAUCAUUGCCAUUAAGGAUAAAAAUAUGGGGUUUAUUCAUAUUGAUUGGAUUUACUUUGUCUACAUCAUAUCAUCUUGCUUACGGUGUUACUCCAUUCUUUAUGAACUUAACACUCUAGAUGCUUGCUGGAUAGUGGUCGAUGUGUGGAGUACUAGUAGUAGAUGCAGGCGGGAGUCGGUCUACUUGUCUCCAAUGUGAUGCCUAUAUACAUGAGCAUUUCCUUGGAUAUCAUCAUGAUUAUUGGCUUUUCUACCAACUGCCCAACAGUAAUUUGUUUACCCACCGUAUGUAUGUUCAAGAGAGAAGCCUCUAGUGAAAACUAUGCCCCUGGGUCUAUUUUAAUCAUAUAUUAAAAUCUAAAAAUACCUUGCUGCAAUUUAUUUACCUUUAUUUUAUUUUGUGUUUUUAUCAUCUAUCUAUCAUUACGAGAUUUGAUCCUUGCAAUUAACUGCUUAGGGAUUGACAACCCCUUGUUUACGUUGGGUGCAAGUAUUUGUUAUGUUGUGUGUAGGUACUGCUAACGAGGUGUUGUGUGGUUCUCCUACUAGAUUGAUAACCUUGGUUCUUAAGUGAGGAAAAUAUAUAUCUCUACUGUACUGCAUCAUCCCCUCCUCUUCAAGGAAAUCCUUGUGAAGCUCACAAGUAGCAGGAAGAAUUUCUGGCACCGUUACCGGGGGACAUCAUCAACAUCUAUCAAGUACCAUCUCAUAAAAUUUCAUCUCCUUGUAUUUACUUCUAUUUCCCAUUUUCUUCUCGUUUUCAUCUCCCCCACUUCUAAAAUGUUUUCACAAAAACAGAUAAAUAUUUUCCAUUUGCCUUUUUUUGCUUUCUUGCUUGCUUUCUUGCGAUGUCUCAAGAAAAUUACUAUGAUAUCUCUUGUCAUAAAAGGUUGGCUGAAAUUGAGAAAAAUACUAAGGACUUCAUGUUUACGCAAUUUGAGCACAAUAAUUUUUUUACCGAUGAGCUUAAGGAACCCUCUACCUUAUUAGAUGCUAUUGAAAAAAAACUCAGUGAUGUUAAUGAAGAAUUUGACGAUCUUCAAUCUCAGCUUGCUCUUACUAAAAAUUUGCUAGGAAAAAUUUCAAUGCACAAACUACACUAGUAAACUAGGUGGUAGCUAAGCCGGAAUCUUUAGCAUUUGUUCAUGAUGAAGAUAUUAAAAUGAUUGGUGUUACACCCAUUGAAUAUUUGUUUAGUAAUUUAAAACUUUAUGAAAAGGGGUCUGGACAAGAGUCAACUUUAGCUAGAAGGCGUCCCCAUUGUUCGGAGGGUGAAAAUCUUAAUGAAAAAUUGAUAAAAGUGGGUUUGGAGAGGUUAAAACUUUAAAUAGUGAUGUUUCCACUUUUUCGGAUUUCAAGGAUUUUAAUUAUGAUAUCUGUUCUUCCAUUGAGUGUAUUUCCUUGUUGCAAUCCAUGCUAAAUUCACCCAAUUCUUAUGAACAAAUAAGGCUUUUACUAAACAUAUCGUAGAAGCUAUGAUGAAAGCUUUAGAAGAAAAGAUAGAAUUGGAGGUUUCAAUACCUAGGAAACUAAAUGAUGAGUGGGAACCUACCACUAAAGUUAAAAUUAAAAAUUAUGAGUGAAAUGCUUUAUCUGAUUUGGGUGCUAGCGUUUCCACAAUACCAAAGUCUUUAUGUGAUAUGCUAGGCUAUACUAAUAUGGAUGAAUGUUCUCUUAAUUUGCACUUAGCGGAUUCCACUAUUAAGAAACCUUUGGGUAGAAUAAAUGAUGUUAUUAUUCUUGCAAAUAGGAAUUAUGUGCCCGUUGAUUUCACUAUGCUUGAUAUUGAUUGUGAUCCAUCUUGUCCCAUAGUACCUGGUAGGCCUUUCCUAUGAACCAUAGGUGCUAUUGAUAUGAAAGAAGGUAAUAUAAAGUUUCAAUUUCCUUUAAAGAAGGAUAUGGAACACUUCCCUAGAAGAAGAUUAAGCCACCAUAUGAAUCUAUUAUGAGGACCACCUAUGGAGUUAAUUUGAAAGAUGAUAACACUUGAACUUAUGCAUUACGCCUAGCUAAGGGCGUAAAACAAUAUCGCUUUGUUGGAAGGCAACCCAAUAGUUCUCUUAAUUUUUAUUUUUAUUUUUCUAUUUUUGGUGUUGAUACGUCUCCAUCGUAUCUACUUUUCCAAACUCUUUUGCCCUUGUUUUGGACUCUAAUUUGCAUGAUUUGAAUGGAACUAACCCGGACCGACAUUGUUUUCAGCAGAAUUGCCAUGGUGUUAUUUUUGUGCAUAAAUCAAAGUUCUUGGAUUGACCUGAAAUUUAUGGAGAAUAUUUCUGGAAUAUAUAAAAAAUACUGGCAGAAAAAGAUACCAAAGGGGGGCCACCCAGGAGCCACAAGCCCCUAGGGGCGCGCCUCCCAGGCUUGUGGAGCACCUGGAGCUCCGGCAACCCUAAAUCCAACUCCAUAUAUACCUGUCCACGGAGAAAAAUUAGAGAGAAGGAUUCCUCGCAUUUACGAUAUGGAGCCGCCGCCACCGCCCGUUCUUCAUCGGGAAGGCUGAUCUGGAGUCCGUUCGGGGCUCCGGAGGGUGGAAUCCAUCGUCGUGAACGUCAACCUUCCUCCAUCACCAAUUUUAUGAUGCUCACCACCGGGAGUGAGUAAUUCCGUCGUAGGCUUCCUGGAUGAUGAUGGGUUGGAGAAGAUUUAUCAUGUAAUCAAGUUAGUUUUGUUAGGGCUUGAUCCCUAGUAUCCACUAUGUUCUGAGAUUAUGUUGCUAUAACUUUGCUAUGCUUAAUGCUUGUCACUAGGGCCCGGGUACCAUAGUUUCAGAUCUGAACCUAUUAUGUUUUCAUGAAUAUAUUUCUGUCCUUGAUCCUAUCUUGCAAGUUGUAUACACCUAUUACAAGUUAUGACCCGCAUACCCAAGGUGACGAUAAUUGGGAUUGUUUCUGGUGAUUACCGUAGUUUGAGGAGUUCAUGUAUUCACUAAGUGCUAAUGCUUUGUUCUGGUUCUCUAUUAAAAGGAGGCCUUAAUAUCCCUUUAGUUUCCUUAUGGACCCCGCUUCCAUGGGAGGGUAGGACAAAAGAUGUCAUGUAAGUUCUUUUCCAUAAGCACGCAUGACUAUAUACAGAAUACAUGCCUACAUUAUAUCGAUGAAUUGGAGGUAGUUCCGUGUCACCCUAGGUUAUGACUGCUACAUGAUGAAUAUUAUCCAACACAAUUAUCCAUUGCUGAUCCAAUUCCUACGAGCUUUUCACAUAUUGAUCUUUGGUAAGUUACUUUUGUCAUUGCUGCUAAUCACUACAAAACUACUACUAUUACUUUUGCUACUGUUACCGUUACUAUCAUACUACUUUGCUACUAAAUACUUUGAUGGAGAUAUUAAGUCUUCAAGGUGUGGUUAAAUUAACAACUCAACUGCUAAUACUUGUGAAUAUUCUUUGGCUCCCCUUUCGUCGAAUCAAUAAAUAUGGGUUGAAUACUCAAUCCUCGAAAACUGUCGCGAUCCUCUAUAAUUGUCGGUUAUCAAGAUGUGUGUAGACAAUUAUGCUACUGUUGUAGUUGUGUUUUUGUGUUUAAAUUAGUGUUUGUGCCAAGUAAAUCCUUUGGGACGAUUUGGAUGAAAGUUGCUUUGAUUCUGUGAGAAAACAAAACCUUUUGUGCCUAGUAACUGAAUUAUCUAAUUGACUGGUGCAUGAUAAAAUUCUGAACUUUUUACACAUGAUUGAUAUACAAAUUGCCCAUGUUGUCCUAAUUUUUCAGAAUUUUUGGAGUUACGGAAGUGUGAUAAUUGUUCAAAUCAUUACAGACUGUUCUGUUUUGACAGAUUUUUUUCGUUGCAUUGUUUGCUUGUUUUGUUGAAUCUAUGGGUUNNNNNNNNNNNNNNNNNNNNNNNNNNNNNNNNNNNNNNNNNNNNNNNNNNNNNNNNNNNNNNNNNNNNNNNNNNNNNNNNNNNNNNNNNNNNNNNNNNNNNNNNNNNNNNNNNNNNNNNNNNNNNNNNNNNNNNNNNNNNNNNNNNNNNNNNNNNNNNNNNNNNNNNNNNNNNNNNNNNNNNNNNNNNNNNNNNNNNNNNNNNNNNNNNNNNNNNNNNNNNNNNNNNNNNNNNNNNNNNNNNNNNNNNNNNNNNNNNNNNNNNNNNNNNNNNNNNNNNNNNNNNNNNNNNNNGGGGGGGGUAUAAGCCAUGGUGCAAUUAUAAUACAGUACAUAUUAUUUAAUAAUAAAAUAUGAAUGGGUUUACAACAGUACCUAAAGUGGUGAUUUGCUUGCUAUACUAACGGAUCUCACGAGUUUUCUGUUGAGUUUUGUGUGCUGAAGUUUUCAAGUUUUGAGUGAGUACGACGGUGGUUAUAUUUUAAAGAAAUAAUUGCACUCUCAUGCUUCACUUAUAUCAUUUUGAGAGUUUGUUGAAAAGUAAUGACAAUUAGUACGAGUUAUGAAUUUGGUCCUAAUAUGAUAGGUGUUCAAGAGGGAUAUAAAAAUCUUUCAUGUAGAUCACUGAAUAUGAUAAGUUUGAUUCCUUGUAAUAGUAUUGCGAUAUAAAGAUUGUGAUAUGUGGGAGGUACUAGUGAAUGAUUAUGGUUUAGUAAGAAUAUUGGUGUUAAGGCUUGUGAUUCCCGAGGCAUGCACGUAUAGUCUCUCGUUAUGCUAUGAAGUUGGAGCAUGAUUUAUCAUUGAUUAUCUUCCUUGUGAGUGGUGGCGGGUGUCGGUGUCAAAACCGGCGGAUCUCGGGUAGGGGGUCCCAAUCUGUGCAUCUAAGGCUAAUGGUAACAGGAGGCAAGGGACAUGAUGUUUUACCCAGGUUCAGGCCCUCUCGAUGGAGGUAAAACCCUACUUCCUGCUUGAUUGAUAUUGAUGAUAUGGGUAUUACAAGAGUUGAUCUACCACGAGAUCGUAGAGGCUAAACCCUAGAAGCUAGCCUAUGAUGAUUAUGGUUCUGAUCGUCCCUCUAAGGACUAAACCCUCCGGUUUAUAUAGACAUUGGAGAGGGCUAGGGUUUACAUGGAGUCGGUUACAAAGAAGGAAAUAUAAUAUUCGGAUCGCCAAGCUUGUCUUCCAUGCAAAGGAGAGUCCCAUCCGGACACGGGACGGAGUCUUGAGUCUUGUAUCUUCACGGUCCCACAGUCCAGCCAAGGUAUAUAGUCCGGCUGUCCGGAUACCCCCUAAUCCAGGACUCCCUCAGUAGCCCCUGAACUAGGCUUCAAUGACGAUGAGUCCGGUGCGCAGUUCUGUCUUCGGCAUUGCAAGGCGGGUUCCAUCUCCGAAUACUCCAUAGUAAUCACCGAACACUUAGAUCGUGUCCGGAUCUGCAAGAUGAUCUUCACAUACCACCGUAGAGAGAAUGAUAUUUCACAAGUGUAAUCUACUGACAACUUUAGACAUGACACUACGGUCGGGUCAUUAUUCGAACCGUUUUCCCACAACCAGCCAUAGCGCAUAUUGCGAGGCAGUUUCCUCGGCACGUCUUGCUGAAGCAGAGAUCAUGUCCCCUUAUUACGGGAUUCUCAUCAAUGCGGGUAUGGGUAGCCCAACCGCAUCGCUAAUUGUGGGGAACGAGUGGGUUCCACCAGGAAAGUGGGGAGGCGAAAAAAGCUUUUACCGCCUCUAUAAAGAGAUAAGGUCUCUUCCUUUUCACCCACGCCUUUUUCUUCCGCUAGUCCAUUCCCCUUUGCUCGAGCCCUAGCGCCCAAGCACUCUUCUUCUCCACCGAAGAGAGGUCCUACGAAGAUGUACAGAUCUGGAGCAGGAGGCAAAUGGAUGGCCUCUACCAUCCAGGAGAGGGAUAUCAAAAAGCUCCGAGAGGCCGGGUACUUGGCCAAGAAAAUCGGCCGCCAUCUUCCACCAGGGGACAGAUCGUCCCCACUCUGGAGCCCCACGAGAGGGUCGUGUUUCUUCCUCAUUUCGUCCGCGGGCUCGGGUUUCCCCUUCACCCAUUUGUUUGCGGCGUCAUGUAUUAUUACGGGAUUGAUUUUCAUGAUCUGUCUCCCAAUUCUUUCCUUAACAUUUCGGCGUUCAUCGUCGUAUGUGAGGCUUUUCUCCGUAUUUCACCCCACUUCGGCUUAUGGCUGAAAAUCUUCAACGUGAAGCCCAAGGUGGUGAAUGGCGAGCACGCCGAAUGCGGCGGCGCCAUGAUGAGCAAGAUGCCCUAGGUCAUAUGGCCGACGGGCACCUUCAAUGAUUCCGUCAAGGAGUGGCAGCAGCAGUGGUUCUAUAUCACCGAACCACAUGGUAAAAAGUGGGCCGUUGCUCCCGAGUUCAGAUCCGGAGCCCCACUGCGGCUCACGUCCUGGCCCGAGAAGGGCCUGAACUGAUCCUCAUCCGACGAGCUGUCAGUGCUCCAAACGCGCUCCAGAGCAUGGUCGACAAGGACGUCAAACUCGUCAACAUAGUCCAGGUGAUGUUAGUUCGCCUGGUUCUCCCUUGCUAGCGUCGAGCCUGCAAUUUGUGGGAAUACAACCCGGCCGAACACCAGACCCUACAGGAGCUCUAUGUUUAUUCUUUGUUGUGCUCUGUGCAUCUGGAAGGUGCUCUUCAAGUCUGGCAAACCGUGGCCGGGCUCCGCCGAGGACCGCGGGUAUCAACUAUCCCACUCUGCAAGUCCGGUAAGUCAUUGUUGUGCUCUGUGCAUCCGUCUUUUAGCCGGCUGUCACACCCUAGCUAGUCAAUGCAUUAGAGUGUUGCAUCAUGUUUAUUCUUUCAACAGAAACUUGAAAUGGGGAUGACAGAACCCCCAGCCCCCUCUGAAACUAACUAGGGUUUACUAAAAAUAUUUUCAAUGAACCUGAAAUGCCCUUCUAAAAUGUCCAUCAUUUUUGUCUUGGUUCAGAACCUCUGCCAAAAGUGAUGCAUAGUUUUCUAGGUCAUCCUAAGGUCUUUGAAUUAACUCAUAAGUAUUUGAGUUUGGGCAUUUAAAUUAUAUAAAUUAUUUUGAAUGCUCAAAUAUUUCCAAACUAAAAUGUUCCAUGUUGUAUAUAUUCCAGCUAGUGGCCAUGAGCAGUUUGGGAAAUUUAGGAGUUGUCUAAGUAUUUUUAAUAAGUCUACAAACCUACAGAAUAAAACAAAAAAACAGAAAAGGAGAAAACCUUACCUCGCGCCUACUAACCGGCCCACCUGCCGGCCCAGCCCAGCUGCCGCGCCAGCGAGCUGCUUGGCUCGGCCAGGCAGGCAGGAAGGUGCUCGGCGGCGAGCAUCGCAUGGGUGCCACGCACCUGGUCGCCACCUCGCCGCUCCCCUCGUCCAGCUGAUGAUGGGGAUCGCUCCCCCUCUCUCCCCUGAACCCCUCGGACAUCUCCUCUCCUCCCCAGCUCCUCUCCCUCGCGCUCCCCAGCCAUGGCCGACGCCACCGCCGCCGCCCCAUCGCCGUAGCCGCGCUCCCUGCCGUCCGUGCUCUGUCUCGCCGUGUCUAGGAGCUCCGCCGCCAUCCUCUUCGUCGAGCUAGCCAAGCCCCGCAUGCUCGUGUGGCCCGAGUCCACCGCACCGACUUCGCCCGAGUCCGCCGUCGCCGGAGAUCCCCUUCAACGCCGUCGCCGCAUCAGCCGUCCCCGACCCCGCCGGUUGCCUCCAUGAGUGCCCUGUGAGCCUAGCUACCUCCCCUUCCCUUUCUCUCUCGCCCCCGAGCUGUGUAGCAACCGCAGGAAGAUCACCCGCAUGCACCGCCGCGGAGAUUGUCGCCGACGUGCUCCCGGCCAUCCUCCGGUCACCUCUCGAUGUCCAUCGCACUCACCACGUCGCGUAGGGUCUAACCAUACACUCCUCGCACCUCACCGCACACCCUAGCCCCGAGUUCGCCUCCACCCGAACUCCGGCGGCCGCCUAGGUCAUCGCCGGCGCCGAUUCCGGCCACCCCGACCCCAACUAACUCCACCAAGAGCUGCGGUUUGUCCCCAGCUCCACUUAGAUGCCUUCCGCGACCCAUUUGGUGGCCGGAACGGCCAAAAUCACUUCCGCCGCCGCGUCGGGCUCGUCGGCGGCUAAACGCCGGUGCAGCCGACUUGACUUUGACCACGGGUGGGCCCUGGUUGACUCUGUUGAGUCAAUGACAGGUGGGGCCCAGCCCUGUUAACUAAUCCGGUUUAGUUCUAAUUAUUUUUUUAGCUAAACUAAUUGCACUGACACCCUGGACCCACUGGUCAGUUUGACCUGGACCAGUCUGUUGACUUGCUGAGGUCAGCAUGACAUCAUGCUGACGCAGUAAUCCUUUUCUGGAAUUAAAAUAAAUCUAAAAUGAUUUAUAAAUUUCAGAAAAUGUUCUAAACUUCAAAAAUUCAUAGUAAUUCAACCAUAGCUCCAAAUGCAAAGUGUUAUAUAUGAAAAUGAUCAGAAAAAUCCAACCUAUCCAUCUGUACUGGUUUCAUGCAUGUUUAAACAAGCUAACCUACUGUUUAUUGCAGAACAAGUUAAAGCACUUAUAAGGGCCAUGUAUGAGUUUGGAACUUGAAUCUUUGAUUCAAAAUGGUUCAAACCCAUAUGGUUUUAGUUGCAUUAGCCCAACACACUCAUAUUGCCAUGUUUCAUGCAUGCAUCAUAUUGCUGCAUAUUGUUUGGUAAUGUUGUGUAUCGGUGCUCUUUGCGGCAGGUCCUGCCUCCGAGGAGUACCAUGAUUACCCUAACGAAGAGCCAUAUCCGUGCAUCGACCCAUCAGGCAAGCAACCAACCAUUUGAUCAUAUCGAUACAAUCCCAUGUUCUCGCUUCUGCUCUCUUUUACUGCAUUAAGACAACGUGUUUCAAACUGCUGUGUGCUACGGUAGUUGAACCCAUUUCCUCUGCAUGACCUGUCAUUGCCACAGUAACUAGAUGAAACCCACUAGCAUGUGUAGGAGUUGAUUGAGCCAUGUGUGUGUGAUGUUCCUACCUUGCUAUGCCUGCUAUGCUUAGAGUCAUGUCAGGUCUGGUUCAUCUGGGUGAUGAGCUAGAGUGAAAUGAUCAUGCCGGUAAUGAGAGUGAUGUGGUGAACACGAUUUGGUAAAGGUAUCGAUGAAAGGCCAUGUAGGAGUACAUGGUGGGUUGUUUCAUUGAAGCUGUCCUUAAGCACUGAGAUCUGUAUGUGUGAUUUAAGAAUCACCUACUACCAUGCAUUGGGCCCGAAACCAAUGGACCCUCUCGACUUCUUAUUCACCCUAGUCCUCUAUCCAGGAGUUGCAAGUAGUUUCUGGUGUUUGUAGCCUACUGGAGGCCGUGGACAACGCUGACCGUAGGGGUGGGCUGUGAUGCAGUAGGUACGUGGCACGGUGUACCGGAUGCCUGUUAGGCAUCUCGGGAACCCUGUUCACAUCGUUUGGGGCUGUGAGUGAAACCCCGGCCGGAUCUCCUCACGGAUGGAACCCGAAUAGGCGAUAAACCUAGACUAGAGACUUAGGUGAUUAGGUAGGUCGUGGCCGACACCCACGUUGGGCUUCUUCUUGAAGGUUGCCGAGUACAUGUCGUGUAAACGGCGAUAAGUGGUGAGAGCGUGUAUGAAGAAGUACACCCCUGCAGGGUUAACAUAAUCUAUUCGAAUAGCCGCGUCCGCGGUAAAGGACUACUUGGUUGCCUAUACAGUUCAUAGACAAGUAAACUGGAAACUAUUAAAAAUCUCAAGAUAAGCGUGAGUGCCGAGGAUGGCUCUUCCGUAGGAUGACGGAGGUGGAUCCUCGGUGGUGUAUUGAAGUGGUGAGUAGUGGACUCGUGUGCGCAAAACCAUUUCAAGUUGGUGUAUCGUAGGAUAGCUUAGCCAAGAGUCAAAGCUGGCUUGCUGCAAUAACCCCACCAACCCUUCUUGAUAAUGUGCAUGUAUGUAGGAUCUGAUGUAAGUCUUGCUGAGUACCUUUGUACUCAUGUUGCUUUAAUUUACAUUUUCAGAAGACGCUGCAACCCCUUCUGAUGGGUUCUUCGUAGACGUUGACAUCGAUGAGUAGACCGAGGCCCAGGUGGUGAUCCUGAGCUUGUGAAGGACCACGUAGUAUAGCCAGGCUUUCCAAGCCUCUUUUAUUUUACUAGUUGUCUGUACUCAGACAAGUUACUUCCGCUGUUGGCUUGUAUGUCUGUAUGACUUGAAUGCUGGGUCGUGUGACCCGUACUUGUGUGUAUGUUAUGUAUGGCUCUCUGAGCCUUAAAUAAAGUACUUGUGUUGUAGAGUCAUGUUGUGAUGCCUUGUUGUAUUUGCACAUAUCGAGCAUAUUGUGUGUAUGAUUGAAAUGCUUGGUAUGUGUGGGAUCUGACUAUCUAGUUGUUUAUUCUUAGUAGCCUCUCUUACCGGGAAAUGUCUCCUAGUGUCUCCAUUGAGCCUUGGUAGCUUGCUACUGCUUCGGAACACUUAGGCUGGCCGGCAUGUGUCCUUCUUCGUUCCUGUGUCUGUCCCUUCGGGGAAAUGUCACGCGAUGGAUACCGGAGUCCUGUUAGCCCGCUACAGCCCGGUUUACCGGAGUCCUGCUAGCCCAGUGCUACAGCCCGGAUUCACUUGCUGCUGACCGACAUGUUCGAUGCUAGGUCAUGGAUACCUGUCCCUGUAAGUCUGUGCCACUUUGGGUUUACGACUAGCCAUGUCAGCCCGGGCUCUUUACCAUAUGGAUGCUAGCAACACUAUCAUAUACGUGUGCCAAAAGGCGCAAACGGUCCCGGGCAAAGGUGAGACGACACCCGUGGGAAUACCGUGCGUGAGGCCGCAAAGUGAUAUGAGGUGUUACAUGCUAGAUCAAUGUGGCAUCCAGUCGGGGUCCUGACACCGGCAUAUCCCGAGGGAGGCGCACUUAUCAUGCUUUUUGCAAAAAUCCUAGGAAUGGACAAAAAUGGUGGAGCGGAUAUACUGUUCCCCACUGCCGGAGGAACCGGCCGGACCUAUUCUGAUGAAGAUGCUGGUCCCAGCGCCUUACGAGGCGCCAAAGAAAGAGGCCUCCAAGAAGGUCCAGAAGACCCGGAGUGGCCUUCGUCGUCGUGAUGCUUCGGAUGCAAAAUCCAAGGAUUCCAGCGACCAUCCUUCCUCCGAAGAUGAAGAGGAGGAGGAAGAAGACGAGUCCCCCACAGGGGCAGGGAAGAAAAGGACGGCCUCCUUAUCCCUGGAGGCCGAAUCACCAAAGAGGGGGAAAGGUUCCCUCCCCAAGGCGCCCACCACGGCUGCUGAUAGCAGCCCGGAGUGGGAUCCCAGGGCCCAACCCCUGGUAAAGUCGUAAGUAUACAAAACCCGCACACACCUACGUGCCCGAGGUCAUUAGGAUGUAGUAGUUUUAACUGUCGCCAUAUUUUGUACAGCCCGGCGAGGUCCCAUGCCGAACAGUCCUCAUCAGAGGAUUCGCUGAGCUCAGAUGCCCUGGCGAGCGAGACGCCUCCAGAGGUCCCUUCCCCGAAGCCUAGGCACGACACCGAGGUGUCGUCUCAGCGGGACCUGGGCCAGGGUGUCAGGACCCCGACUCAAUGCCACAUCGAUCUAGCAUGUAACACCUCAUAUCACUUUGCGGCCUCACGCACGGUAUUCCCACGGGUGUCGCCUUACCUUUGCCCGGGACCGUUUGCGCCUUUUGGCACACGUAUAUGAUAGUGUCGCUAGCAUCCAUAUGAUAAGGAGCCCGGACUGACAUGGCUAGUCGUAAACCCAAAGUGGCACAAACUUACAGGGACAGGCAUCCAUGACCCAGCAUCGAACGUGUCGGUCAUAAGCGAGUGAAUCCAGGCUGUAGCACUGGGCUAGCAGGACUCCGGUGAACCGGGCUGUAGCGGGCUAACAGGACUCCGGUAUUCAUCGCGUGACAUUUCCCCGAAGGGACAGACACAGGAACGAAGAAGGACACAUGCCGGCCAGCCUAAGUGUUCCGGAGCAGUAGCAAGCUACCAUGGCUCGGUGGAAACACUAGGAGACAUUUCCCGGUAAGAGAGGCUACUAAAGAUAAACAACUAGAUAGUCAGAUCCCACACAUACCAAGCAUUUCAAUAACAUACACACAAUAUGCUCGAUAUGUGCAAAUACAACAUGGCAUCACAACAUGACUCUACAACUCAAGUAUUUUAUUCAAUAGGCUCCGAGGAGCGAGAUAUUACAAACAUGGGUCUCAUGACCCAACAAUCAGAGCAUACAAGUCAAAGCACAAGCGGAAGCUAUCAUGUCUGAGUACAGACAUCUAUAAAUGAAAAAGGCUGAGAAGCCUGACUAUCUACCAGAUCCUGCCGAGGGCACAAGAUCGUAGCUGAGGUAACAAGCUAAACGUCGAAGUCCAAGCGGAACUACUAGUGAGACUGAAGUCUCUCUGCAAAAACAUAAAAUAGGCAAACGUGAGUACAAAUGUACCCACCAAGACUUACAUCAGAUCUAACUACAUAUGCAUCAUUAUCAACAAGGGGGUGGUGGAGUUUAACUGCAGCAAGCCAGCUUUGACUCGGUGGCUAUCCUAAACUACGACUUCAAGUAACUCUUUUGAGGUGGCGCACACGAGUCCACAUAUUCACCAUAUCAAUACACCACUAUGGAUCCGCUCCCGUCUCCCUACGAGAACGCCAUCCAUAGCACUCACGCUUAUCUUGCGUAUUUUAGAGUAUCCACUUUCACUUGUCUAUGAACUAUGCAAGGGGUCCAAGUUUCCAUAUCCGAGGAAUCCGGCUAUUCGAAUAGAUAGUGAUAACCCUGCAGGGGUGUACUUCUUCACACACGCUCUCGCCACUUACCGCCCUGUACACGUCAUGUACCUCGGCAACCUUCAAGCGGAAGCCGGGCGAGGGAGUCGACCACGACCUGACUAACCGAACAAGUCUCUAGUCCAGGUUUAUCGCCUAUUCGGGUUCCAUCCGCAAGGAGAUCCGGCCGGGGUGUCGCUCACGGCCCCAAACGAUGUGAGCAGGGUUCCCAAGCCCACCAUCCGGGUGCCACUUGGUACACCGUGCCACUGUGCCUAGUCUGUCCCAAGCCCACCUGUACCGGGUGCCACUUGGUAGACUACUAACACUACCUACAAACACAAGAAACUAGUUGCAACUCCUGGACAGAGAUCAUGUUGAUUAAUAAGUCGAGAGAGUCAAUUAAGGAUCCCAAUGUGUGGUAGUAGCUGUUCAUGGAUCACAAACACAAAACUCAGUUCCUGAGGACGGCUGCAAUGAGACAACCCACCAUGUACUCCUACAUGGCCUCUCACCGCUACCUUUACCAAAUCGUGUUCACACACUUAGCUCACACAUAGUAGGACAUGUUCACACGCCUCUGAUUCAUCCCCGAUGAAUCAGACCUGACUCAACUCUAAGCAGUAGCAGGCAUGACAACAAUCAUGAAAGAGUAGGCACAACAGGGCUCAAACAACUCCUACUCAUGCUAGUGGAUUUCAUCUAUUUACUGUAGCAAUGACAGGUCAUGCAGAGGAUAAAGGGGUUCAGCUACCGCAGCAAGUAACAAAUAUGUCGUUGUUGUCCUAAUGCAGUAAAAGAGAGCAGGAGCGAGAGAGUGGGAUUUUAUCGGAAUGAACAAGGGGGUUUUGCUUGCCUGGCACUUCUGAAGAUAAUAUAGCUCUUCAUCGGUGUCAUCGAUCACAUCGCCGGUACACGUCUAUCGAGAGGGGACAAUUACUGGCAAACAAGGAAGAACACAAUCAAUGCGAUGCAACAAUAUGAUGCAUGAUAAUGACAUGGCAAUAUGAAUGUGUUUUGGGCUAAUGCAUCUAGCAGCAAGUUAAAUGGAGUUGGUUUGAACCCUAGGUUCAAAUUCAAACUCCACAUGUGAUUAUUUAAAUGCCAUUUAAUUGAAUUGUCCUAAACAGCAGCUAUAAGUUGUUCUAACAUGCAUGAAAAUGGUAUAGAUGGAUAGAUUGGAUUUUUCUGAUAAUUUUUCAUAUAUAAUUUAUCUAAUUUGGAGUUACGGUUGAAUUUCUAUGGUUUAUUGAAGUUUUAGCUAUUUCUGGAAUUUCCUGAUUAUUUAUAGAAUAAACUAAAUUCCAGAAAAGGAAUAUUGCAUCAGUAUGACGCAAGGCUGAGGUCAGCAGGUCAACUGGGUCACCCAGAGUCAAACCUGAUGUGUGGGGGCCACACGUCAGUGACGCAGGGCUGGUUAGUGUCAAUGACAGGUGGGGCCGGGUCAAAGGCCACGUCAGCGUGGUCAAAGCUGACGCGUGGGGCCACUGCAGUUAGAUUAAACCUAAUCUAUUUUAGUUAGCCGGUUAGUUAGGCCGCAAGGCCCGCAGGUCAGUGAGAGAGUGGGUUAAUUAGUGGAGUCCUUAACUACUAACGACGGUGCCACGUCAGCUGCCGGCGUUUAACCGCCGGUGACCUCAGAUCGCGGCGGCGUCCACGUCGGGAUUGCGCUACAGGCCAUGGUUUGGGGCGCGGGGAGCACCUACGGGGAGCUGGCGGAGUGGCGCUUCCAGUGGUGGAGGCGGCUGGAGCGGAGGUGGCCGGAGUCGUCACCGGCGUCGACCGUGGCGGUCGCCGGUGUUCGGGCGAGGGCGGCCGCGUGGUUCCAGUGCAUGGGGGAGCUAGUUAGGGGUUCCGUUGGACUCGCCGUUGCUCCAGGAGCACGCCGAAGGCUCAAGCUCGAGCGGAGACGCACGGUGGCUGCGAGAGCAACGACCAUGGCGGACGGCGGCGCUCGGGUAUGGCGGCUGGCAUAGCUAGAGGAUAGGAACGAGCUCGGGGAGGAGGAGGAAAGACGGAGGAUCUCACAGCGGAUCGAACGAAGGAGUUGGUGAGCUCGGGGGCGUCCUAGUUGCUGCGAAUCGAGCGGCGGCGAUCUCCGGCCAUGGCGAUGAAGACGGUGGUGAUGGCGGCGUUGCAGCGCGUCCGUGGCGUCGUGGCUUGUCGAGGAGGUCGGGGACGUCGAGACGGAGCUCGCAAGCACAGCGAGGGGUCGAGGGGGAGAUGGUGGCCGCGGCGUUACGGUGGCGCGGCUGCGGCUGCGCUCGGGCUCGAGGGGGAGAGGGAGCAGAAGAGGGGGGAAGAGUUCGGGAGAGAGUGAAAGAGCGGCCGGGCUGCGUGGCGUCGUCCGGGGCGUUCCAGGGCGACGAGGAGGUAGCCAGGCAGGCAGGGAGGAGCUGGCGUAGCUCGCCUGUGCGCCGGGCACGCAGCUGCUUCGGGACGAGGGGAGGAAGACGACGGAGGGCUGCAGUGGUGGGCUGGGCCGGCUGGGCUACCAGGUAAGCGCCAGGUAAGUCCAGGUGGGUUGUCUCUCUCCCUUUUUUUAUAUUUCUGUUCUGUUUUAUUUUAUUAAUAUCUUUUGCCAUUGUUUUGAAUUUAAACAAAUUCAAACAAUGCCAAAAACUCCUCUGAAUAUUUUAUUUUGCUAGAUGGACUUUUCCAAAAGCUCAUAAAAUAUUUUAGGGGUAUUUGAAAUUAUAUUCUAAUUAUAUGAAUAUAAUUCAAAUUCAAAUAGCUAAUGAUUUAAAUUCAAAAUCCCAAAAAUAAAUCCUUUUAAAAUGUCAUUAUUUUUGGUUUGGAUCAAACCCUUGCCAAAAAUAUUAAACAUCUAAGAAGAGCAUUUUGGAACAAUGAAUGAGAUUUUAGGGUUUUUGCCCUUCCUUUAUUUAGGGUUUUGAGGCUUCCAAAUUUCCUCAGUUCAAGUUUUCAAAAUUUAAACAUGAUGCCAACACUAGGCAGCACCAGAAGCUAGGGAUGUGACAACUCACCCCCACUAAACAAGAAUCUCGACCCGAGAUUCAAGUGUAGGGUAGGACGAAGGGGAAACGCAAACUAGUAUAAUCUUCACGAUCCAGGGUGCACUUCAUAAAAGCGUUGAUUCGACCACCAUCUUUGUCCCGUCGUCUUGCUCUGAGAACUCCAACUAGCAUGACAGCAAGAGGAAAAGGACAACUCCGGAGGAAUCGAUCUUCUCGAAGAUCAAUUAACUUAGGAUCAGCUCACCAAGUGAGUCAUAGAAACAUCUCUUGAGCUGAGACAAGAAGCAUACAUCUGAAGAAAUGGAGUGAGACAGAUGACGAGGGCUCGCUAAGUAGACAACAAUUCCAGACUUAAGCAUGUGGUGAUCGGUUGUCAACGUAGCGAGGAGUUGAGUUGCCAUGAUACCACAACGAGGCACCUUAGGGAUGGUGACUCGUAGAAAUAUCCCCUUAAGUGGCAAGAAGAAUUACCUUUGAUUCAAAGAUCAUUGAAACUCUUUAACCCAGCCUAAGGCAAUUCUCGAGCGAUCGUUGGAGGGGGGGUCGGUUGAAUGGCAUACUCGGACUUGGACGAUGUGGAUUACCUUGUUGAAGACAACGUAAUGGAUGAAUUUGCUUACCACCGGAAGUGGAAGAGACCCAUGGUAGAAUGGCACAUUGGCGGUGCAAGCUGGGAACAAAAUGCAAAUGCUGGGAAUGAUUCUGGUAACUGGGGAAGAACCCAACAAUAGAGAGUGAAUUCACUGUUUGAAAAGGUCAUAGCAUUGCCGAGGAAACUGAGAGCAUCCCAGUUAGUGCCAAUGAUAACACAUAGCGCUUGUGCGUGCUCUCAAGAACUUGAGCAUUUCCAUAAUCAUCAAGGUUUUACCAACAUCCGUGUCAAGGAUCCUGGCAACACAACAUACUACCAUGAUGGCUAAUGAUGGAUGAUGCAGAUGCAGAGGAAGAUAACACCUUCUCAGAUUCCACCUUAGCGAGGCCAAGGAAACAAAAUCUGGAUGAUCGACCGAGAGACAUUUAGCACUCUGCUUCUAAUGUUCUCCUUGAUGUGCUAGUGUAACCCAUUCAUAGAAAUGGUCUGGUAUCUAGAACAUCAAGUAAAGGUCGGACUUCGGAAACACAAAAAUCCAUAAGAAACAACUAGGGAGGUAAAUCCUACGAAAUCCCUAUGGGGAGGUGGCCAACUGCUUCAAUCAAGAUACUAAAAUAAUAGGUCUUCCGGCGGGGUGUGUUGGCCAGGACAUCCACUUUACCGGUUUCCGAGGGACCGAUAUUAUAGUUCUUGGGAAAUGUUCCAAACCAUCAUAUCUGCCUGAGAUUUCAGAUCUGGUUGGUGUCAGGAUAUUCCAGACUCAUCGAGUCUAGGAAGAAAACGAAAGUUUGCAACACAAAUCGACGAGAUGACGUUGCGAGAUUCUCGGGAAAUGAACUACGAUAGCAAGCUCCAAAGCAUGAGCUGGUUCUGCUACGCAUGUGUGAACACGCUGUUCCAGGCAAACACGAUCACAUGGUAGUCUUACAAUAAAACACUACCGAGUUCUGGUAGGGAACCAUCAUUGAGGAUAUAGGAAUCUUGUGCAUGAACUAGUAUUUGCACAGCAACUCCUUUUCCUUGAACAAAUCAAUCAGUGGCUUGGUGUGCUAGGGAUACAUAGGGAAUGAAGAUGAUCAGUCUACCAGGCCAUAGAAUACUUCGCACAUGCAUGACUGACCUGGGAUGAUUCCAGAGGAGCAAAAACAAACUUCCUCGAAUUCACGGCGGCAACUUACAUCAAAUGCACGUGAAUCAAAGGAAGUCACUUCUUUCAUCCAACAUACACUUCAUGAACGGGGCAUGAAGAAAAUGCUUAUACAAGUUUCCAACACUAGCUUAAUGUUCAACAAAAUCAUGGAGGAGAUAAGGAUGUUGUCAAUGGGCUCAACAACAAUUCAUCUGGGUUCCCUUUUAAAAGGAAUUCCAUAGUUAAGUGAACACGGUGAUAGCAUUGGUCAGACCAAAGAAUAUAAUGGUGUAUGCUCGAGGAAAAACCACGAGUAAGACAACAUUACGAAUAUCGUUGGUUCCGGUUUGAUUUGACGAUAGCCCACACUCAAAUCAAAGGAUUGAUAAGACAAUAGGUCCAGCAACUGAUCACAGGGACCAAUCGAUGAAGAUAUCAUCUUUCUUGAAAACACACCAAUACCAGGAUAUCCCUUUGAAAUGAACUAAGUUAGGUAAGCUUUUAUCUUCCAACUCUCCAAGUUGUCGUUUAGCUUAACCAACUAGCUCAGGGGUAUCCAACACGGAUUCUUGGAGAAAGGGUGGUUCACAAGAAACCAACUUGAUCACGAGCUCAACAUAACCGUCAGGGGACAACCUGGUAAUACUUCCAAGAAGAUAUUCGGAAAAUCAAGAACCACCGAUAUGUUACUAAGCUCGAGAACAAUCUCGCCUUUGAGGGCAAGACGAUAUGAUCAACAGAGCGAAGGAUUGAUACAAUCCUCACUUAUUGAUCAGAGGGUGCACCGGAAAUAAGGACUAGGUGGCACAAUCAGUCUUAGCAGGAUGAUUCAAAAACCAACACGCUAGGAAUGAAAUUAUCGUCCAUUUAACUACCAAGCAACAGAGUUGCUAGCAGUAUUGAUUUCACACGCCAUGAUUCAUUUGUCGGCAUUCCGGUUACAAUAACACAGGAACCGAGGAAUGAACAAUGAUGGCAAGAAGUGUCACUGUACCAAGAGUUCAUAGGAUGGUGUGCAAUUCCUAUAACAAUCCCGAUAUAAAAGAUUGUAAUACUCCAAGGUAGAGCAGAACAAAAGCUGAAUUAGCAAUUUGUUUUGUGGAGCACAACUUCUUUGACCCAAUCUUGGAUAUGGAAGAGGUACUGGAGUUUGUUUCCCCUAGUCAUUCUGGAAUAGAAUGGCUUGACGGACCACAAGAAUAACGAGCAUCGGUGAACAUGAAUGCACGACAUCAACUUGACUAUCAACUGAUAGACAAGGGUCAAAAUACAACUACAGAGGGACAACUCAAAGGAACAUACGAUUUUCUGAGUUGUGGAUGCAUGGUUUAGCAUGUCGAACGAAGUUCAACAUAUUUCUUCCGGAUAACCCAUGCAGAAAGGUAGAACUGGCAGAGUCGUAAUAUGGAAUGGAGAACUCAUAGAGGGCCUGUUGUGAUCUUUUGAUCCAACAAACUUCUGCCAUAAUGGUUCAUAGUAUUUGGAAGAAGGAGAUACCACGGACCUCGAGGACUAUCGCAAAGGUUACUAAUAUCCUAAAGGAACUAGCAACACUAUCAACAUGAUGUAGGUAGGGUGAAUCUCGGGUUCAAAGCCCAGGAAUAGAAUACCUACUAACUAAAUGGCAUCACGGGAUGCUUUCAAUAAUGACGGCCAGAAUCAUCACACUGGGACACAAAUCAUGGCUAAAUUACUAGAUGAUCCCCUAAGACACCUAGGGUCAUAAUACUAGCUUCAACAUAUAUGUCAAGGCGAUAAAGUACCUCAACUCACCGAUUCGUGUGAUUAAUCUGACCAAAGGCACAUCGGAAACAGGAGGAAGGGAUUUGCAAAUGCAUCAGACUCUUUGGAAACCUGGGAUGACUCGGACAGCAUAACGGCUGUAAAUGCUUAGAAAAGAUUUGAGACAUUCACAAAAAUGGUGGCAUAGCCACUCAGAAGCACAAUAUCAAGGUUUUUGAGAUCAACAGUUAACAUACAGAAGUAAUAGGAACUGAAAUGAGGCUUAAGUCCAACAAUCUUAUAAGUCUAUGGAUUAGUAACACGUGAUCCUGAUAGAAAGAAGAGAAAGCCUAGUUCCUUAACCCCGCAGGAAAGAUAAGAUGACUCAGAUCAGAAGGCCAUGAGGUAUAAGGAGUAAAAAGAGCCUUACGUUCCAUCCCACAAUCAAUUCCCUUAUAUAACUAAAGAAUUUCUAGACUCAACUUCGACCAGUUUGGCUUGGUAAUCAUACAGGCAGUGUGGCUCUGAUACCAACGCUGUCAGGACCCCGACUCAAUGCCACAUCGAUGUAGCAUGUAACACCUCAUAUCACUUUGCGGCCUCACGCACGGUAUUCCCACGGGUGUCGCCUUACCUUUGCCCGGGACCGUUUGCGCCUUUUGGCACACGUAUAUGAUAGUGUCGCUAGCAUCCAUAUGAUAAGGAGCCCGGGCUGACAUGGCUAGUCGUAAACCCAAAGUGGCACAAACUUACAGGGACAGGCAUCCAUGACCCAACAUCGAACGUGUCGGUCAUCAGUGAGUGAAUCCAGGCUGUAGCACUGGGCUAGCAGGACUCCGGUGAACCGGGCUGUAGCGGGCUAACAGGACUCCGGUAUUCAUCGCGUGACAUUUCCCCGAAGGGACAGACACAGGAACAAAGAAGGACACAUGCCGGCCAGCCUAAGUGUUCCGGAGCAGUAGCAAGCUACCAUGGCUCGGUGGAAACACUAGGAGACAUUUCCCGGUAAGAGAGGCUACUAAAGAUAAACAACUAGAUAGUCAGAUCCCACACAUACCAAGCAUUUCAAUAACAUACACACAAUAUGCUCGAUAUGUGCAAAUACAACAUGGCAUCACAACAUGACUCUACAACUCAAGUAUUUUAUUCAAUAGGCUCUGAGGAGUGAGAUAUUACAAACAUGGGUCUCAUGACCCAACAAUCAGAGCAUACAAGUCAAAGCACAAGCGGAAGCUAUCAUGUCUGAGUACAGACAUCUAUAAAUGAAAAAGGCUGAGAAGCCUGACUAUCUACCAGAUCCUGCCGAGGGCACAAGAUCGUAGCUGAGGUAACAAGCUAAACGUCGAAGUCCAAGCGGAACUACUAGUGAGACUGAAGUCUCUCUGCAAAAACAUAAAAUAGGCAAACAUGAGUACAAAUGUACCCACCAAGACUUACAUCAGAUCUAACUACAUAUGCAUCAUUAUCAACAAGGGGGUGGUGGAGUUUAACUGCAGCAAGCCAGCUUUGACUCGGUGGCUAUCCUAAACUACGACUGCAAGUAACUCUUUUGAGGUGGCGCACACGAGUCCACAUAUUCACCAUAUCAAUACACCACUAUGGAUCCGCUCCCGUCUCCCUACGAGAACGCCAUCCAUAGCACUCACGCUUAUCUUGCGUAUUUUAGAGUAUCCACUUUCACUUGUCUAUGAACUAUGCAAGGGGUCCAAGUUUCCAUAUCCGAGGAAUCCGGCUAUUCGAAUAGAUAGUGAUAACCCUGCAGGGGUGUACUUCUUCACACACGCUCUCGCCACUUACCGCCCUGUACACGUCAUGUACCUCGGCAACCUUCAAGCGGAAGCCGGGCGAGGGAGUCGGCCACGACCUGACUAACCGAACAAGUCUCUAGUCCAGGUUUAUCGCCUAUUCGGGUUCCAUCCGCAAGGAGAUCCGGCCGGGGUGUAGCUCACGGCCCCAAACAAUGUGAGCAGGGUUCCCAAGCCCACCAUCCGGGUGCCACUUGGUACACCGUGCCACUGUGCCUAGUCUGUCCCAAGCCCACCUGUACCGGGUGCCACUUGGUAGACUACUAACACUACCUACAAACACCAGAAACUAGUUGCAACUCCUGGACAGAGAUCAUGUUGAUUAAUAAGUCGAGAGAGUCAAUUAAGGAUCCCAAUGUGUGGUAGUAGCUGUUCAUGGAUCACAAACACAGAACUCAGUUCCUGAGGACGGCUGCAAUGAGACAACCCACCAUGUACUCCUACAUGGCCUCUCACCGCUACCUUUACCAAAUCGUGUUCACACACUUAGCUCACACACAGUAGGACAUGUUCACACGCCUCUGAUUCAUCCCCGAUGAAUCAGACCUGACUCAACUCUAAGCAGUAGCAGGCAUGACAACAAUCAUGAAAGAGUAGGCACAACAGGGCUCAAACAACUCCUACUCAUGCUAGUGGGUUUCAUCUAUUUACUGUGGCAAUGACAGGUCAUGCAGAGGAUAAAGGGGUUCAACUACCGCAGCAAGUAACAAAUAUGUCGUUGUUGUCCUAAUGCAGUAAAAGAGAGCAGGAGCGAGAGAGUGGGAUUUUAUCGGAAUGAACAAGGGGGUUUUGCUUGCCUGGCACUUCUGAAGAUAAUAUAGCUCUUCAUCGGUGUCAUCGAUCACAUCGCCGGUACACGUCUAUCGUGAGGGGACAAUUACCGGCAAACAAGGAAGAACACAAUCAAUGCGAUGCAACAAUAUGAUGCAUGAUAAUGACAUGUCAAUAUGAAUGUGUUUUGGGCUAAUGCAUCUAGCAGCAAGUUAAAUGGAGUUGGUUUGAACCCUAGGUUCAAAUUCAAACUCCACAUGUGAUUAUUUAAAUGCCAUUUAAUUGAAUUGUCCUAAACAGCAGCUAUAAGUUGUUCUAACAUGCAUGAAAAUGGUACAGAUGGAUAGAUUGGAUUUUUCUGAUAAUUUUUCAUAUAUAAUUUAUUUAAUUUGGAGUUACGGUUGAAUUUCUAUGAUUUAUUGAAGUUUUAGCUAUUUCUGGAAUUUCCUGAUUAUUUAUAGAAUAAACUAAAUUCCAGAAAAGGAAUAUUGCGUCAGUAUGAUGCAAGGCUGAGGUCAGCAGGUCAACUGGGUCGCCCAGAGUCAAACCUGACGUGUGGGGGCCACACGUCAGUGACACAGGGCUGGUUAGUGUCAAUGACAGGUGGGGCCGGGUCAAAGGCCACGUCAGCGCGGUCAAAGCUGACGCGUGGGGCCACUGCAGUUAGAUUAAACCUAAUCUAUUUUAGUUAGCCGGUUAGUUAGGCCGCAAGGCCCGCAGGUCAGUGAGAGAGUGGGUUAAUUAGUGGAGUCCUUAACUACUAACGACGGUGCCACGUCAGCUGCCGGCGUUUAACCGCCGGCGACCUCAGAUCGCGGCGGCGUCCACGUCGGGAUUGCGCUACAGGCCAUGGUUUGGGGCGCGGGGAGCACCUACGGGGAGCUGGCGGAGUGGCGCUUCCAGUGGUGGAGGCGGCUGGAGUGGAGGUGGCCGGAGUCGUCACCGGCGUCGACCGUGGCGGUCGCCGGUGUUCGGGCGAGGGCGGCCGCGUGGUUCCAGUGCAUGGGGGAGCUAGUUAGGGGUUCCGUUGGACUCGCCGUUGCUCCAGGAGCACGCCGAAGGCUCAAGCUCGAGCGGAGACGCACGGUGGCUGCGAGAGCAACGACCAUGGCGGACGGCGGCGCUCGGGUAUGGCGGCUGGCAUAGCUAGAGGAUAGGAACGAGCUCGGGGAGGAGGGGGAAAGACGGAGGAUCUCACAGCGGAUCGAACGAAGGGGUUGGUGAGCUCGGGGGCGUCCCCGUUGCUGCGAAUCGAGCAGCGGCGAUUUCCGGCCAUGGCGAUGAAGACGGUGGUGAUGGCGGCGUUGCAGCGCGUCCGUGGCAUCGUGGCUUGUCAAGGAGGUCGAGGACGUCGAGACGGAGCUCGCAAGCACAGCGAGGGGUCGAGGGGGAGACGGUGGCCGCGGCGUUACAGUGGCGCGGCUGCGGCUGCGCUCGGGCUCGAGGGGGAGAGGGAGCAGAAGAGGGGGGAAGAGUUCGGGAGAGAGUGAAAGAGCGGUCGGGGCUGCGUGGCGUCGUCCGGGGCAUUCCAGGGUGACGAGGAGGUAGUCAGGCAGGCAGGGAGGAGCUGGCGCAGCUCGCCUGUGCGCCGGGCACACAGCUGCUUCGGGACGAGGGGAGGAAGACGACGGAGGGCUGCAGUGGUGGGUUGGGCCGCACAGGAGCUGGGCCGGCUGGGCUACCAGGUGAGCGCCAGGUAAGUCCAGGUGGGUUCUCUCUCUCCCUUUUUUUAUAUUUCUGUUCUUUUUUAUUUUAUUAAUAUCUUUUGCCAUUGUUUUGAAUUUAAACAAAUUCAAACAAUGCCAAAAACUCCUCUGAAUAUUUUAUUUUGCUAGAUGGACUUUUCCAAAAGCUCAUAAAAUAUUUCAGGGGUAUUUGAAAUUAUAUUCUAAUUAUAUGAAUAUAAUUCAAAUUCAAAUAGCUAAUGAUUUAAAUUCAAAAUCCCAAAAAUAAAUCCUUUUAAAAUGUUCAUUAUUUUUGGUUUGGAUCAAACCCUUGCCAAAAAUAUUAAACAUCUAAGAAGAGCAUUUUGGAACAAUGAAUGGGAUUUUAGGGUUUUUGCCCUUCCUUUAUUUAGGGUUUUGAGGCUUCCAGAUUUCCUCAGUUUAAGUUUUCAAAAUUUAAACAUGACGCCAACACUAGGCAGCACCAGAAGCUAGGGAUGUGACAACUCACCCCCACUAAACAAGAAUCUCGACCCGAGAUUCAAGUGUAGGGUAGGACGAAGGGGAAACGCAAACUAGUAUAAUCUUCACGAUCCAGGGUGCACUUCAUAAAAGCCUUGAUUCGACCACCAUCUUUGUCCCGUCGUCUUGCUCUGAGAACUCCAACUAGCAUGACAGCAAGAGGAAAAGGACAACUCCGGAGGAAUCGAUCUUCUCGAAGAUCAAUUAACUUAGGAUCAGCUCACCAAGUGAGUCAUAGAAACAUCUCUUGAGCUGAGACAAGAAGCAUACAUCUGAAGAAAUGGAGUGAGACAGAUGACGAGGGCUCGCUAAGUAGACAACAAUUCCAGACUUAAGCAUGUGGUGAUCGGUUGUCAACGUAGCGAGGAGUUGAGUUGCCAUGAUACCACAACGAGGCACCUUAGGGAUGGUGACUCGUAGAAAUAUCCCCUUAAGUGGCAAGAAGAAUUACCUUUGAUUCAAAGAUCAUUGAAACUCUUUAACCCAGCCUAAGGCAAUUCUCGAGCGAUCGUUGGAGGGGGGGUCGGUUGAAUGGCAUACUCGGACUUGGACGAUGUGGAUUACCUUGUUGAAGACAACGUAAUGGAUGAAUUUGCUUACCACCGGAAGUGGAAGAGACCCAUGGUAGAAUGGCACAUUGGCGGUGCAAGCUGGGAACAAAAUGCAAAUGCUGGGAAUGAUUCUGGUAACUGGGGAAGAACCCAACAAUAGAGAGUGAAUUCACUGUUUGAAAAGGUCAUAGCAUUGCCGAGGAAACUGAGAGCAUCCCAGUUAGUGCCGAUGAUAACACAUAGCGCUUGUGCGUGCUCUCAAGAACUUGAGCAUUUCCAUAAUCAUCAAGGUUUUACCAACAUCCGUGUCAAGGAUCCUGGCAACACAACAUACUACCAUGAUGGCUAAUGAUGGAUGGUGCAGAUGCAGAGGAAGAUAACACCUUCUCAGAUUCCACCUUAGCGAGGCCAAGGAAACAAAAUCUGGAUGAUCGACCGAGAGACAUUUAGCACUCCGCUUCUAAUGUUCUCCUUGAUGUGCUAGUGUAACCCAUUCAUAGAAAUGGUCUGGUAUCUAGAACAUCAAGUAAAGGUCGGACUUCGGAAACACAAAAAUCCAUAAGAAACAACUAGGGAGGUAAAUCCUACGAAAUCCCUAUGGGGAGGUGGCCAACUGCUUCGAUCAAGAUACUACAAUAAUAGGUCUUCCGGCGGGGUGUGUUGGCCACGACAUCCACUUUACCGGUUUCCGAGGGACCGAUAUUAUAGUUCUUGGGAAAUCUUCCAAACCAUCAUAUCUGCCUGAGAUUUCAGAUCUGGUUGGUUUCAGGAUAUUCCAGACUCAUCGAGUCUAGGAAGAAAACGAAAGUUUGCAACACAAAUCGACGAGACGAUGUUGCGAGAUUCUCGGGAAAUGAACUACGAUAGCAAGCUCCAAAGCAUGAGCUGGUUCUGCUACGCACGUGUGAACACGCUGUUCCAGGCAAACACGAUCACAUGGUAGUCUUACAAUAAAACACUACCGAGUUCUGGUAGGGAACCAUCAUUGAGGAUAUAGGAAUCUUGUGCAUGAACUAGUAUUUGCACAACAACUCCUUUUCCUUGAACAAAUCAAUCAGUGGCUUGGUGUGCUAGGGAUACAUAGGGAAUGAAGAUGAUCAGUCUAUCAGACCAUAGAAUACUUCGCACAUGCAUGACUGACCAGGGAUGAUUCCAGAGGAGCAAAAACAAACUUUCUCGAAUUCACGGCGGCAACUUACAUCAAAUGCACGUGAAUCAAAGGAAGUCACUUCUUUCAUCCAACAUACACUUCAUGAACGGGGCAUGAAGAAAAUGCUUAUACAAGUUUCCAACACUAGCUUAAUGUUCAACAAAAUCAUGGAGGAGAUAAGGAUGUUGUCAAUGGGCUCAACAACAAUUCAUCUGGGUUCCCUUUUAAAAGGAAUUCCAUAGUUAAGUGAACACGGUGAUAGCAUUGGUCAGACCAAAGAAUAUAAUGGUGUAUGCUCGAGGAAAAACCACGAGUAAGACAACAUUACGAAUAUCGUUGGUUCCGGUUUGAUUUGACGAUAGCCCACACUCAAAUCAAAGGAUUGAUAAGACAAUAGGUCCAGCAACUGAUCACAGGGACCAAUCGAUGAAGAUAUCAUCUUUCUUGAAAACACACCAAUACCAGGAUAUCCCUUUGAAAUGAACUAAGUUAGGUAAGCUUUUAUCUUCCAACUCUCCAAGUUGUCGUUUAGCUUAACCAACUAGCUCAGGGGUAUCCAACACGGAUUCUUGGAGAAAGGGUGGUUCACAAGAAACCAACUUGAUCACGAGCUCAACAUAACCGUCAGGGGACAACCUGGUAAUACUUCCUAGAAGAUAUUCGGAAAAUCACGAACCACCGAUAUGUUACUAAGCUCGAGAACAAUCUCGCCUUUGAGGGCAAGACGAUAUGAUCAACAGAGCGAAGGAUUGAUACAAUCCUCACUUAUUGAUCAGAGGGUGCACCGGAAAUAAGGACUAGGUGGCACAAUCAGUCUUAGCAGGAUGAUUCAAAAACCAACACGCUAGGAAUGAAAUUAUAGUCCAUUUAACUACCAAGCAACAGAGUUGCUAGCAGUAUUGAUUUCACACGCCAUGAUUCAUUUGUCGGCAUUCCGGUUACAAUAACACAGGAACCGAGGAAUGAACAAUGAUGGCAAGAAGUAUCACUGUACCAAGAGUUCAUAGGAUGGUGUGCAAUUCCUAUAACAAUCCCGAUAUAAAAGAUGGUAAUACUCCAAGGUAGAGCAGAACAAAAGCUGAAUUAGCAAUUUGUUCUGUGGAGCACAACUUCUUUGACCCAAUCCUGGAUAUGGAAGAGGUACUGGAGUUUGUUUCCCCUAGUCAUUCUGGAAUAGAAUGGCUUGACGGACCACAAGAAUAACGAGCAUCGGUGAACAUGAAUGCACGGCAUCAACUUGACUAUCAACUGAUAGACAAGGGUCAAAAUACAACUACAGAGGGACAACUCAAAGGAACAUACGAUUUUCUGAGUUGUGGAUGCAUGGUUUAGCAUGUCGAACGAAGUUCAACAUAUUUCUUCCGGAUAACCCAUGCAGAAAGGUAGAACUGGCAGAGUCGUAAUAUGGAAUGGAGAACUCAUAGAGGGCCUGUUGUGAUCUUUUGAUCCAACAAACUUCUGCCAUAAUGGUUCAUAGUAUUUGGAAGAAGGAGAUACCACGGACCUCGAGGACUAUCGCAAAGGUUACUAAUAUCCUAAAGGAACUAGCAACACUAUCAACAUGAUGUAGGUAGGGCGAAUCUCAGGUUCAAAACCCAGGAAUAGAAUACCUACUAACUAAAUGGCAUCACGGGAUGCUUUCUAUAAUGACGGCCAGAAUCAUCACACUGGGACACAAAUCAUGGCUAAAUUACUAGAUGAUCCCCUAAGACACCUAGGGUCAUAAUACUAGCUCCAACAUAUAUGUCAAGGCGAUAAAGUACCUCAACUCACUGAUUCGUGUGAUUAAUCUGACCAAAGGCACAUCGGAAACAGGAGGAAGGGAUUUGCAAAUGCAUCAGACUCUUUGGAAACCUGGGAUGACUCGGACAGCAUAACGGCUGUAAAUGCUCAGAAAAGAUUUGAGACAUUCACAAAAAUGGUGGCAUAGCCACUCAGAAGCACAAUAUCAAGGUUUUUGAGAUCAACAGUUAACAUACAGAAGUAAUAGGAACUGAAAUGAGGCUUAAGUCCAACAAUCUUAUAAGUCUACGGAUUAGUAACAUGAGAUCCUGAUAGAAAGAAGAGAAAGCCUAGUUCCUUAACCCCGCAGGAAAGAUAAGAUGACUCAAAUCAGAAGGCCAUGAGGUAUAAGGAGUAAAAAGAGCCUUGCGUUCCAUCCCACAAUCAAUUCCCUUAUAUAACUAAAGAAUUUCUAGACUCAACUUCGACCAGUUUGGCUUGGUAAUCCUACAGGCAGUGUGGCUCUGAUACCAACGCUGUCAGGACCCCGACUCAAUGCCACAUCGAUCUAGCAUGUAACACCUCAUAUAACUUUGCGGCCUCACGCGCGGUAUUCCCACGGGUGUCGCCUUACCUUUGCCCGGGACCGUUUGCGCCUUUUGGCACACGUAUAUGAUAGUGUCGCUAGCAUCCAUAUGAUAAGGAGCCCGGGCUGACAUGGCUAGUCGUAAACCCAAAGUGGCACAAACUUACAGGGAUAGGCAUCCAUGACCCAGCAUCGAACGUGUCGGUCAUCAGCGAGUGAAUCCAGGCUGUAGCACUGGGCUAGCAGGACUCCGGUGAACCGGGCUGUAGCGGGCUAACAAGACUCCGGUAUUCAUCGCGUGACAUUUCCCCGAAGGGACAGACACAGGAACGAAGAAGGACACAUGCCUGCCAGCCUAAGUGUUCCGGAGCAGUAGCAAGCUACCAUGGCUCGGUGGAAACACUAGGAGACAUUUCCCGGUAAGAGAGGCUACUAAAGAUAAACAACUAGAUAGUCAGAUCCCACACAUACCAAGCAUUUCAAUAACAUACACACAAUAUGCUCGGUAUGUGCAAAUACAACAUGGCAUCACAACAUGACUCUACAACUCAAGUAUUUUAUUCAAUAGGCUCCGAGGAGCGAGAUAUUACAAACAUGGGUCUCAUGACCCAACAAUCAGAGCAUACAAGUCAAAGCACAAGCGGAAGCUAUCAUGUCUGAGUACAGACAUCUAUAAAUGAAAAAGGCUGAGAAGCCUGACUAUCUACCAGAUCCUGCCGAGGGCACAAGAUCGUAGCUGAGGUAACAAGCUAAACGUCGAAGUCCAAGCGGAACUACUAAUGAGACUGAAGUCUCACUGCAAAAACAUAAAAUAGGCAAACGUGAGUACAAAUGUACCCACCAAGACUUACAUCAGAUCUAACUACAUAUGCAUCAUUAUCAACAAGGGGGUGGUGGAGUUUAACUGCAGCAAGCCAGCUUUGAGUCGGUGGCUAUCCUAAACUACGACUUCAAGUAACUCUUUUGAGGUGGCGCACACGAGUCCACAUAUUCACCAUAUCAAUACACCACUAUGGAUCCGCUCCCGUCUCCCUACGAGAACGCCAUCCAUAGCACUCACGCUUAUCUUGCGUAUUUUAGAGUAUCCACUUUCACUUGUCUAUGAACUAUGCAAGGGGUCCAAGUUUCCAUAUCCGAGGAGUCCGGCUAUUCGAAUAGAUAGUGAUAACCCUGCAGGGGUGUACUUCAUCACACACGCUCUCGCCACUUACCGCCCUGUACACGUCAUGUACCUCGGCAACCUUCAAGCGGAAGCCGGGCGAGGGAGUCGGCCACGACCUGACUAACCGAACAAGUCUCUAGUCCAGGUUUAUCGCCUAUUCGGGUUCCAUCCGCAAGGAGAUCCGGCCGGGGUGUCGCUCACGGCCCCAAACGAUGUGAGCAGGGUUCCCAAGCCCACCAUCCAGGUGCCACUUGGUACACCGUGCCACUGUGCCUAGUCUGUCCCAAGCCCACCUGUACCGGGUGCCACUUGGUAGACUACUAACACUACCUACAAACACCAGAAACUAGUUGCAACUCCUGGACAGAGAUCAUGUUGAUUAAUAAGUCGAGAGAGUCAAUUAAGGAUCCUAAUGUGUGGUAGUAGCUGUUCAUGGAUCACAAACACAAAACUCAAUUCCUGAGGAUGGCUGCAAUGAGACAACCCACCAUGUACUCCUACAUGGCCUCUCACCGCUACCUUUACCAAAUCGUGUUCACACACUUAGCUCACACACAGUAGGACAUGUUCACACGCCUCUGAUUCAUCCCCGAUGAAUCAGACCUGACUCAACUCUAAGCAGUAGCAGGCAUGACAACAAUCAUGAAAGAGUAGGCACAACAGGGCUCAAACAACUCCUACUCAUGCUAGUGGGUUUCAUCUAUUUACUGUGACAAUGACAGGUCAUGCAGAGGAUAAAGGGGUUUAGCUACCGCAGCAAGUAACAAAUAUGUCGUUGUUGUCCUAAUGCAGUAAAAGAGAGCAGGAGUGAGAGAGUGGGAUUUUAUCGGAAUGAACAAGGGGGUUUUGCUUGCCUGGCACUUCUGAAGAUAAUAUAGCUCUUCAUCGGUGUCAUCGAUCACAUCGCCGGUACACGUCUAUCGAGAGGGGACAAUUACCGGCAAACAAGGAAGAACACAAUCAAUGCGAUGCAACAAUAUGAUGCAUGAUAAUGACAUGGCAAUAUGAAUGUGUUUUGGGCUAAUGCAUCUAGCAGCAAGUUAAAUGGAGUUGGUUUGAACCCUAGGUUCAAAUUCAAACUCCACAUGUGAUUAUUUAAAUGCCAUUUAAUUGAAUUGUCCUAAACAGCAGCUAUAAGUUGUUCUAACAUGCAUGAAAAUGGUACAGAUGGAUAGAUUGGAUUUUUCUGAUAAUUUUUCAUAUAUAAUUUAUUUAAUUUGGAGUUACGGUUGAAUUUCUAUGAUUUAUUGAAGUUUUAGCUAUUUCUGGAAUUUCCUGAUUAUUUAUAGAAUAAACUAAAUUCCAGAAAAGGAAUAUUGCGUCAGUAUGACGCAAGGCUGAGGUCAGCAGGUCAACUGGGUCGCCCAGAGUCAAACCUGACGUGUGGGGGCCACACGUCGGUGACACAGGGCUGGUUAGUGUCAAUGACAGGUGGGGCCGGGUCAAAGGCCACGUCAGCGCGGUCAAAGCUGACGCGUGGGGCCACUGCAGUUAGAUUAAACCUAAUCUAUUUUAGUUAGCCGGUUAGUUAGGCCGCAGGGCCCGCAGGUUAGUGAGAGAGUGGGUUAAUUAGUGGAGUCCUUAACUACUAACGACGGUGCCACGUCAGCUGCCGGUGUUUAACCGCCGGCGACCUCAGAUCGCGGCGGCGUCCGCGUCAGGAUUGCGCUACAGGCCAUGGUUUGGGGCGCGGGGAGCACCUACAGGGAGCUGGCGGAGUGGCGCUUCCAGUGGUGGAGGCGGCUGGAGCGGAGGUGGCCGGAGUCGUCACCAGCGUCGACCGUGGCGGUCGCCGGUGUUCGGGCGAGGGCGGCCGCGUGGUUCCAGUGCAUGGGGGAGCUAGUUAGGGGUUCCGUUGGACUCGCCGUUGCUCCAGGAGCACGCCGAAGGCUCAAGCUCGAGCGGAGACACACGGUGGCUGCGAGAGCAACGACCAUGGCGGACGGCGGCGCUCGGGUACGGCGGCUGGCAUAGCUAGAGGAUAGGAACGAGCUCGGGGAGGAGGGGGAAAGACGGAGGAUCUCACAGCGGAUCGAACGAAGGGGUUGGUGAGCUCGGGGGCGUCCCCGUUGUUGCGAAUCGAGCGGCGGCGAUCUCCGGCCAUGGCGAUGAAGACGGUGGUGAUGGCGGCGUUGCAGCGCGUCCGUGGCGUCGUGGCUUGUCGAGGAGGUCGGGGACGUCGAGACGGAGCUCGCAAGCACAGCGAGGGGUCGAGGGGGAGACGGUGGCCGCGGCGUUACGGUGGCGCGGCUGCGGCUGCGCUCGGGCUCGAGGGGGAGAGGGAGUAGAAGAGGGGGGAAGAGUUCGGGAGAGAGUGAAAGAGCGGUCGGGGCUGCGUGGCGUCGUCCGGGGCGUUCCAGGGCGACGAGGAGGUAGCCAGGCAGGCAGGGAGGAGCUGGCGCAGCUCGCCUGUGCGCCAGGCACGCAGCUGCUUCGGGACGAGGGGAGGAAGACGACGGAGGGCUGCAGUGGUGGGCUGGGCCGCACAGGAGCUGGGCCGGCUGGGCUACCAGGUGAGCGCCAGGUAAGUCCAGGUGGGUUCUCUCUCUCCCUUUUUUUUAUAUUUCUGUUGUGUUUUAUUUUAUUAAUAUCUUUUGCCAUUGUUUUGAAUUUAAACAAAUUCAAACAAUGCCAAAAACUCCUCUGAAUAUUUUAUUUUGCUAGAUGGACUUUUCCAAAAGCUCAUAAAAUAUUUCAGGGGUAUUUGAAAUUAUAUUCUAAUUAUAUGAAUAUAAUUCAAAUUCAAAUAGCUAAUGAUUUAAAUUCAAAAUCCCAAAAAUAAAUCCUUUUAAAAUGUUCAUUAUUUUUGGUUUGGAUCAAACCCUUGCCAAAAAGAUUAAACAUCUAAGAAGAGCAUUUUGGAACAAUGAAUGGGAUUUUAGGGUUUUUGCCCUUCCUUUAUUUAGGGUUUUGAGGCUUCCAAAUUUCCUCAGUUCAAGUUUUCAAAAUUUAAACAUGAUGCCAACACUAGGCAGCACCAGAAGCUAGGGAUGUGACACAGGGGUGGCAUAUCCCCGAGGCCGGACACACGGGAGCAGCGGCUCUCAUGCGUGUCGAUGGCAGGGGUGAUCUUCGGUUCGGACCGCAGCCGGACACGGUCCUGGAGACCUUUAAAGCUCCAGGAUCGGGAGAGAGGCCAACUUUGACGGGGGGAGGCUUGCCUACUCCGCCAGCGACCUCUGUCCAAGAAGAGCUGCCGGGCGGCCUAUCGACAGCGCUAAGAAGCGCGUCUAUCGUUGAUGAACAUCAUGCCCUCAUGGGUGCGGUGAUUGAAAAGAUUCAGUCUACUGAGAGCGGACUGAAUGAAUCCUGCCUUAGUCUUAUAAAGGGCUUUGAGGUAUGUUUUUAAGAAACCUUUGGGAGAUUGUCAUAAUAUGAGUAGUAGCCCCUAAUCCAUUGUCCGGCGAAAUAAAGCCGGACAGGGGAUCAAAUUUUGUUGUUUUACAGGAGACUCAAUUAAUGACAGGUAUCCCUUUGUUUGAAAACAGGCGUCUGCAGAGACGACCGCCGCUCAUAGUGCGGAGGUGUCCGGACUAAAGCAGCGUCUGGAACGGGCCGAAGAGGAACUUGGCCGCGUGAAGAAGCAGUUGGAGGACAAGCAAGGUAUGUCGAAACCUUGUGCUAAGUUGAGCACGAAUUAGAAGUUGUGCCUGACAAAAAUAUUUGUAUUGUAUGCUCUAGAGGCGAGUGCCGAAAUUGAGGCACUGAAGAAGGCUGUGGCCGAAGCCGACAAUAAGGCUGCUGCCGAACAGGCUCUUCAUGAGAAGCACGAUGCCAGGGUCAUUGAAGCUGAGCGAGAGCUCCAGGAGGCUGUGAAGAAAAGCGAGGCCUUGGAGGAGAGUCUGGCAGGGAAAGAAUCCGAACUCACCCAAGCUCUCCAAGCCAUGGAGGAUGCUUGGGAAGAAGCUCGAGGUGCUCUGAAGGACAUUCAGGAGGCCCGGAAGGUUGCGGCUGGUAAGGCCUUUUGUACUCAAGGCCAUUUUUGCAUAGUAAUGGGAGGAACUCUAAGCGACAAGCUGAAUUCUUGUUUCUCCAAGGGCGCUUGCGGAUCUGCCACACAGCAUAUCAGAUGCUGCCAAAUUCUACCGGACUGAGGAUAAGAAGUCUGCGAAGAAGCAUUUCUGGUCGCAGUAUUUGGCGCCGAAUUAUCCGGUGCCCUUUAUCGAUCAGCUGAAGCAGCAGGUCAAACUGCACCACGCGGCCAAACUAGCCAUGAAGGACUUGGUUGUCCGGCUAUGGCCCGCGGAGCCAAUUCCAAGCAGUUACUUCGGACUCGUGAAGCGGAUUGUUGGCGCUUGCCCUCGGCUUGAUGUCAUUAAGCGAUCGGUCUGCAUAGAGGGUGCACGCAUGGCAUUUGCCCGUGCGAAGGUGCAUUGGGGGAAGCUUGAUGCUGAGAAGCUGAUGACUGAGGGACCGCCGGAGGGUAAGGAGCAUCGCAAGCCCAAGCUAUACUAUGAAGGUGUCCUGAAAGGAGCCCGCCUUGUGGCGGAUCAGUGUACCAACGACACUAUAUUUCCCUAAAGGCGGUCACACCAUUCUUUGUAAUGCGGGAUAAUGUCACUUUUAUUAUUAUUGCCUGUUUAUUUGAACGUUUGUUCUUCCUGUGCGGCUGUUUAGUGUAUAUAAAUCCUGAGAGUUGGCCAGUCGUCGGCUUCUGCCCCCACGUAAAAAGUACGGGGGUGUUUGGGACAUACCUGAACACUCUUUAUCCCAUUGUUGGGUCCUUUUAAGGAGGUGUUCCUCAGCACGAACCAGUCAAUCAGACUAUAGGGCUUUAUCACUCUCACUUAGCCAUAGGAAUUCGAGUAUGGUGGGCGCAACCUCUGGUGUUCGGAAGACCGUACUAGGGGCUCUAUCGGCGCCUGAUCGGAAGACUGAUCCAUCGCACUUUGCAUUUAUAAUGGCAUUAUGCGGAAUAAAUCUUUAAAGAUUUUACAACCUCUCGAACAGCUGACCAGCUCUCGCUGUAUCAUGAUAGUCUGUUUUCGGCUUUCUCUACUGAGGUGCUCAUCCGGAAGAACCGGGACACAAUCACAGUAGUUCACCCAGCGCUACCUUAGCUGAUGAAGCGGAACGUAAGGUACCAAAACAUGGGAGCCGGGCAAACCCAACUAAUGACCCAAGACAUGAUUCAGAGCUUGAUGCAUAUAGUGCUAUAAGUUCCGGGUGCCGAGCGACCGAGAAGGUGGUCGGACUUUGUUGCCAUACUAUGAAGCCCCUGGCAUAAUGGGGCAUAACACAAGGCGUGGGUGCCAUUUGUGAAAAAAGGGGCGUCCAUGAGGAAUGACGGCCGGUAAGGGUUAUGUAAGUCUACGCAUUGUAGUAGAGUGGUAUGCAUAUGAGUACGGUUUAUGCUUAUGAAAAGAAGUGUUUUUGGCGGAACAUGUCGUGGCCGGACUGGAGGAGGUUGUGUGUGGAUCUGAGGUGUAUCCGGACUGCCUCCUUUGAGGGGGAGUUUGCUUAUGUCCUCUUGCCUUCUGCGUCCGAGCCGAUUCCACGUCACCAGUCCUGUUCUGCGCCAAAGUUAAUCUGUAAAGACAAAUGCAUAAAGGCAGCUGCAUGUCCUGUGGUUGAACCGCGGGUGCCUGAUCAGAGCCUGGCUGAACCAGGCUAUCAUGCCAUAAAGUGGCUCGAACUCCUCAGUUGGUGUCCAGGUAGUUGGCUGCCGAAUCAAAAUUUGAUAAAUAGGCACGACUCGCUAUUCCAGUAGCGGUAUGAUUUCCACUCUGAGGGUGGGGUUCGGCUUGCCCAUAAUUGUGACUAUGUCACGUGGGACUGGCCUAAUGUUGUACCCCGUUGGAUCUAGCCAACGUGGUUCUUCCUGGUAGAAUGUUGUAAUUACUGUAUAAGGGGACAGUGCCGAAGACUUAUUCUUGGGCGUGGUAUUUGUUUGGUGAUCCGAAGACAACCAUUAGUAUGGUGGGCCAGUUAAAAAUUGGCCUUUGCACCUGGCAUCUUUGAGGAGAUGUUAUUGAUAGUUUUUUGCCCGUGGGGGCUCGUGUAAGAUGGAGCCCCCAAACUAUUGGGUAGAUAGUGAGUGCAAUAAAAUUGCUAUGGCUGAUGUUGUCCGGACGGUCGAUGUGAUCAGAGACGAUCGGGCGUAUUUUUGUACUGUGGGGGGAUCUUCCUUUGACCUCACCAUGUUUGAUCGGUCUUCCGUUGUUUGAAACCUCCCUCAUUGUUUCCGGCGCGCGACCGGCCAUUUUGUUUUGAGGGUCCGGCAUUCUCUAUUGGUAUGCUUGGCCGCCUUUCUGGGGGUACCAUGAAUUUUGCAUGGUUGAUCGAGUAUGCUGCUUGGGCCGGAUAGGCUUGAGCUGUUCUUUUUCCGCUGACCGGACUGGGGGCCGCUGAAUUCGGCACCAACUUCUCUGGCUUGAUGUUUAUGACGAUUGCGCCGAGGCUUGAGGAUGCUGCCUCAUGUUUCCUGCGUAUUGUCCUGGACCGUGGUGGUAUAUUGGCGUUAGGGUAUGUGCCUUAGGUUCUCCUUCUUAGGUUGAGGUAGCGAAUUGUGCCAUGUGUGCCCUUUGUCAGGGUGGUCGAGUCCGUUUUCCUUGGUGUCCAGGACCUUGGUCCAUCUGUCAGUGAGCGAAUCUUGGUCAGCUUUGAGCUGCUGUUGCUUCUUUUGUAGGCUCCUCGCAGUGGCCAUAAGCUGUCGCUUAAAGCGAACUUGUUCCGUGGGUUCCUCAGGUACGUCGAAUUCAUCAUCGCCGAGGCUCACCUCGUCUUCGGAGGGGGGCAUGUAAUUACCCCUCACCAAAUACCCGUCCGUCGCCAGUCCAACCUGCUCGAAGGCAGGCUGAUUAGGAUUGUAUUCAUCUUGGGCACCAUCUGGAUUGUUCUUGACUGCCGUGCCGGUAGUGUUGUGGCGGGGCUUGGGGCGGCGCUGAUGACAUUCAUGCUUUGCUUUCUUCCUUGAGGGGUUAUCCUCCAUUGCCUCAUCGCCGUUGGUUUCUUUCGGAGUGUCCACCAUAUAUGUAUCAUAUGAGGAGGUGGCUGUCCACCGCCCCGUGGGCGGUGGUUCCUGUUCCUCUGCCGCAUCGUCGUCUAUAUCGUCGAUGUCUUCAGAGUCGAAGUCAAGCACGUCGGUUAAAUUUUUCUCACUUUCUCUCUAUCUAUUUCCUCUCAAAUGUUUUUUACCUUUCUUUUUUUAGACACAAUUGUUUUUUAUGCCUUCUUUUAGAAUUAUUAUUUUUAUGCCUAGGAGCACGUGUAGAGACGGGCUCUUGUAGAGCCCACUCCUUGACUUUGUCAAUGCCUCUCUCUCCUCCACAUAAGCGGGCUUAUAGCCCAGUUUUUUACUGGUACUACUUUCUAUGCAUGCAUGCGGCGGGCAACUACCAUCUCGAGGGGCCAGGGCAGUCAGAGCGGGCUCUGGAAGCGGUCCGGACUCCUGCAUGGCCCACCUCACAUUAUCACCAUAUAUUUCUUGGAGUCCGUGCGUGGCGGGCAUGUGAUCUCUUCUCUCUCCCCCGUUUCUAUCUUCUCAGCCGACGCCCGCCGAGCGAUUAGAUUUCGGUUAUCGACGGUUUAUUCAAUUACAGUCCCACAUGUCAGUGAAAUUGCAAGACAACGCUUCUCCCCUCUGGUGGCGACGUGCGAGCCGGACUGUCAGUGGUGCGACACGUACGAGACGUAAGUGUGACGCCUUUUCUUUUAGAACUUGCGAAGCGUAACAUUUUCGCGCGAUCGAUCGAUAGAAAUCCAGAACAAAAUGAUGAGGGCAGUGCUUUCCCGCUUGUUAGGCGGGCUAGUUUGAGUGAUAUGACGUGCUACAGUGCCAUCCACUUGCUCCAUUUUUAUGUAAGCAAGAGUUUACACUCUUAUGCGGGAGGAGUGCGAAACACCGCGGAUCUGAUUUUGAUCGAGGGAUAACUUCCUUGCCAAAUAAUGGAGCACUGUUAGCGAUUAUAGCAUGAUAGUUAGGGCAUCUCCAGCGCUAGCCCAGAAAUUUACACCGGCAUCUAUCCAAGGACACUGAUGGAUGCCAUCCAAUGCUGCCCGCAUACCUUUCGACAACUAUAUGAACUAACCGGACGAAUUUCAUGCAAACGAAGCAAAUUUCAAAUUAACCGAAUGAAAUUCAUUACAUUUCGAAAACUUUUCCUACAAACUGGACGAAAUUCAUUACAUAUUUCGCACAAACCGUACUAAAACCUACUGUAAACCUAAUCUAAACGAUCACCGGCGCCCGACCACCAUGUCUGGCCAUGAACCUGAGAAAGCCGGUCAUUGCCUUUGCCUCCUCCUCAUCCGCCUCGAUAACCUCCUCCUUAGGAGCACAAGGUUCUGAAGAUUUCCGCCUCCACGUCGCUGUCAAGCGGCUAAUCGGCCACCGAUGUUUACCCCACCAAGCUUGGUGUCGACUGAGUGGAGUAGCGGUGGCCUUCCUGGGACGAGAGCGGCGGCGACGUAACGAGUACUACUCUUCCUCGCUGCCGGCUGCGCCCGCGCACGCGCGCCGGCUUCGUGGNNNNNNNNNNNNNNNNNNNNNNNNNNNNNNNNNNNNNNNNNNNNNNNNNNNNNNNNNNNNNNNNNNNNNNNNNNNNNNNNNNNNNNNNNNNNNNNNNNNNNNNNNNNNNNNNNNNNNNNNNNNNNNNNNNNNNNNNNNNNNNNNNNNNNNNNNNNNNNNNNNNNNNNNNNNNNNNNNNNNNNNNNNNNNNNNNNNNNNNNNNNNNNNNNNNNNNNNNNNNNNNNNNNNNNNNNNNNNNNNNNNNNNNNNNNNNNNNNNNNNNNNNNNNNNCUCCUGCGACAGUACGUCAAAGAGAGCUUUCGAGCAUGCCCGGAGCGGAGCCGCCAAUGUCCCUCGUCUGCUCCUACGACAGUACGUCCAAGAGAGCUUCGGAGCGCCAGGAGGCCAUGGUUGGAAUGGUGCCGAUAGAAGGAAGGGACCGGAGGAGAAUAAGUGUGGAUCUUUGGCUAUGGCUGGGAGCUGGAGCUCAAGUUAAUAUAGCGGGCGAAUGGCAAUGAGCCACGGCAGACGGAUGGACGGCUGGCGCCGGAGUUGGUUCGUCUGGCGUGAAUGCGGAUGCUGCUUCAGUGACUUAACUGCACAUGCAUUGGGUUACUGACAUGUGGGCCCAAUGGGCAUCUGUCCCGCAUGUCAGUGACCCACCAACUGCACCUUCAGUUAAGUCCAGUAAAUGCGACAUUGACAUUCUGGAGAGACGGUGACCGUUUCAGGCGGGAAGCACGUGCUAGCGAUGGAAGUUGUUUCGGUAGGCCAGGAGGUAAGAUGUUGGCGUGGUGGUAAAGUGUGAACUCAUGGAUGACGAGCCUUUGAAGCAUAUGCGGCACAUAUUGACAACCACUCUUGUUGCCAGCUAGCCUUCGACGACCACCAUUAGACACCACACAACCAUGCAUAACUUACGAAUAAUGGACGAAUCGAUCAGACACACACUCGUGUGCAGUGGCACUAAGAUCGGUCGCUCACGAUAGGACAUACCCCAUACCAUAGUACCUUCUCUAGCUAGGUUGUUUUAUAGAUUGUCGUUGUGACUGACGAUAUACAUGAGCAAGGCACUCCGAGUAUGACCGUUGGUGUUGAGCCAGGUGAAUACAUGCUCGGCGUUCGCGUAGGCCUCCAUCAAACGUCUAAACAGUAAUGUCAGGCACCGCCGGGGCGCGCAGGUGAUGGGCUCGCCGUUUGCGUUGCGCCAUGAGCAGGACUUUGGCUUAGAGAGCAAUGUGCAUGCAUUAGCAUGAUUUGACAGCAUGAGCGUGAGUGUCUGACGCAAAGUAUUUCGUUUUCAUUUGGCUGACGAGGGUGCGUUGCAGCGACGAGUCCGUGGUUUGAUUCCCCACAUACGCAUAAUUUUGGUUUUUACAAUAUUUCUUUCUCCAUUGAUAGGUAGGCCCGUGUAGAUAGAUAAAGAACACGAUCUGAUGUGGCGCAUGCGGACUGUUUGACUGGUCAACCAGACAAAUAUGGGGCUAUACGCUGAGCCAGUGACCGUAUAAUCACCAUAUCUCGUAUACAAUGAUCAAAGUGAGCUAUCAAGACAAGUUCGAUGACUGCCAAUGCAUUUUACUCGGUAAUAAAUGACCAGGAUUGAAGGGGAAUCCAAAUUUCCUUCGUCUUCAGUCCUUGAGCUCUUGACAAACCAAUGCACUAUAUCAUUGUCCGACCACUCCACCCUAGAGCUCUCACCAAGCGUCGUUCAUGCCACCGCGCCGCACACUAAUCGGUAAGGCAGCGAUGGCAUCCCGCAGCGCCGAGUUCCUCGCCGCCAACGACCGCACACAAAAUGGUAGGGAAGCGAUGGCAUCCUGUCGUGCUGAGUUCAUCACCGCUCGCGACCUCACACCUAUGUGGGAGGAAUUUGAAGAUGCCAAGGCCGAAUGGGCGGUAGAGCAAGAGGCGGCCAAAGCCGCAUAGAGGGAGCGGAGAAAGCACUCAAGAAAAGAGAGGCCUGCCGCCGCAAGAAAGAAGAGGACGUACACGCUGCUGCGGAGAGGUCGGCGAGAUCCAAGCACGGUUGGGUGUCGCCGACAAAGCCAGGAAGGAGAACGACGGCGUCUGGCCAGCAUGUGAGAAGUAGUAGUACUAGUAGUUAGUGUGUGUGUCUAUGUCUGAGUACGAGCAUGUACUAGUACUACUAGUUACUACUGUAGUUGUUAGAGCAAAUUACCAGUACAUUAGCCUAGACUAAAUGGAAAAAUUCCUAUCCCAUGCAUCAAAUGGCAUCUCUUUCUCUAUAGGAAUUGAGAUGCAUGUCAUCUCACUUCCUAUGAUUUUCAUUUUCCUAUAAAAUUCCUAUCCUAUGAACGAAAGGAGGCCUCUGUUGGAGUAACUACUGUAGCUAGCAGUACUGCUGGUACAGUAGUUUUCUUCAAGAAGCGGAAUUCAACGAAGUCAUGAUGGUUCCUUCGUCCGAGCAACUUCAAAGUGGGAAGUGGGCCUGUGAUUUGAUGGCUCAUUAGUCAUUGUUACUGCGGCACGAUGACCGGGAUGACUCUCCCUCGGACUUUGUUGCCGUACUAUGAAGCCCCUGGCAUAAUGGGGCAUAACACAAGGCGUGGGUGCCAUUUGUGAAAAAAGGGGCGUCCAUGAGGAACGACGGCCGGUAAGGGUUAUGUAAGUCUACGCAUUGUAGUAGAGUGGUAUGCAUAUGAGUACGGUUUAUGCUUAUGAAAAGAAGUGUUUUUGGCGGAACAUGUCGUGGCCGGACUGGAGGAGGCUGUGUGUGGAUCUGAGGUGUAUCCGGACUGCCUCCUUUGAGGGGGAGUUUGCUUAUGUCCUCCUACCUUGUGCGUCCGAGACGAUUCCACGUUGCCAGUCCUCUUCUGCGCCAAAGUUAGUCUGUAAAGACGAAUGCUUAAAGGCAGCUGCAUGUCCUGUGGUUGAACCGCGGGUGCCUGAUUAGAGCCUGGCUGAACCAGGCUAUCAUGCCACAAAGUGGCUCAGACUCCUCAGUUGGUGUCCGGGUAGUUGGCUGCCGAAUCAAAAUUUGAUAAAUAGGCACGACUCGCUAUUCCAGCAGCGGUAUGAUUUCCACUCUGAGGGUGGGGUUCGGCCUUGCCCAUAAUUGUGACUAUGUCAUGCGGGACUGGCCUAAUGUUGUACCCCGUUGGAUCUAGCCAAUGUGGUUCGUCCCGGUAGAAUGUUGUAAUUACUGUAUAAGGGGACAGUGCCGAAGACUUAUUCUUGGGCAUGGUAUUUGUUUGGUGAUCCGAAUACAACCAUUAGUAUGGUGGGCCAGUUAAAAAUUGGCCUUUGCACCUGGCAUCUUUGAGGAGAUGUUAUUGAUAGUUUUUUGCCCGUGGGGGCUCGUGUAAGAUGGAGCCCCCAAACUAUUGGGUAGAUAGUGAGUGCAAUAAAAUUGCUAUGGCUGAUGUUGUCCGGACGGUCGAUGUGAUCAGAGACGAUCGGGCGUAUUUUUGUACUGUGGGGGGAUCUUCCUUUGACCUCACCAUGUUUGAUCGGUCUUCCGUUGUUUGAAACCUCCCUUCAUUGUUUCUGGCGCGCGACCGGCCGUUUUGUUUUGAGGGUCCGGCAUUCUCUAUUGGUAUGCUUGGCUGCCUUUCUGGGGGUACCAUGAAUUUCACAUGGUUGAUCGAGUAUGCUGCUUGGGCCGGAUGGGCUUGAGCUGUUCUUUUUCCGCUGACCGGACUGGGGGCCGCUGAAUUCGGCACCAACUUCUCUGGCUUGACGUUUAGGAUGAUUGCGCCGAGGCUUGAGGAUGCUGCCUUGUGUUUCCUGCGUAUUGUCCUGGACCGUGGUGACAUAUUGGUGUCGGGGUAUGUGCCUUAGGUUCUCCUUCUUAGGUUGAGGUAGCGAAUUGUGCCAUGUGAGCCCUUUGUCAGGGUGGUCGAGUCCGUUUUCCUUGGUGGCCAGGACCUUGGUCCAUCUGUCAGUGAGUGAAUCUUGGUCAGCUUUGAGCUGCUGUUGCUUCUUUUGUAGGCUCCUCGCAGUGGCCAUAAGCCGUCGCUUAAAGCGAACUUGUUCCGUGGGGUCCUCAGGUACGCCGAAUUCAUCAUCGCCGAGGCUCACCUCGUCUUCGGAGGGGGGCAUGUAAUUACCCCUCUCCAAAUAUCCGUCCGUCGCCAGCCCGGCCUGCUCGAAGGCAGGCUGAUCAGGAUUGUAUUCAUCUUGGGCACCAUCUAGAUUGUUCUUGACUGUCAUGCCGGUAGUGUUGUGGCGGGGCUUGGGGCGGCGCUGAUGACGUUCAUGCUUUGCUUUCUUCCUUGAGGGGUUAUCCUCCAUUGCCUCAUCGCCGUUGGUUUCUUUCGGAGUGUCCACCAUAUAUAUAUCAUAUGAGGGGGUGGCUGUCCACCACCCCGUGGGCGGUGGUUCCUAUUCCUCUCCUGCAUCGUCGUCUAUACCGUCGAUGUCUUCAGAGUCGAAGUCAAGCACGUUGGUUAAAUCAUCGACCGUGGCAAUGAAGUGGGUGGCGGGUGGGCAACGAAUUCCUUCGUCGCCUGCUUCCCACUUGAGCCAGAUAUAGUUCGGCCGAGAGUCUCCUGACAAAGAGAGAGAUUUUAACGAGUUCAGCAUGUCACCAAAUGGCGAGUGCUGGAGGAUAUCUAUAGCGGUGAACUCCAUUACCGGAGCCCAACCAGGUUCGACGGGUUCAGAGGUGCACGGACUGGGACCUACAGCCGGAUAUGAGUCCAGGGGUCCGUUGUCACAGGCUUCCUUGGGGGUGAAGUCUGUGUUCAGCUCUACCGCCGAUGAGUGUGCGGCCUCUAGGGCGGGGUCCAUCCACCCAUCCCACGGCGACGCAAUCUACCCCGGAUUUAGGUCCGGGGCUUCUGCGAGGCGGUAUACCGAGCAUUGUUCGACAACAGGUCUAACCCGUGCUCACCGUGACUGUCUGGUGCUCCUGGCGCAGGCCCGAACCCUUGAAGAUCAAGUCUCCGCGGAUAUCGGCUGUGUAGUUCGAGUUUCCGAACUUGACCUGGUGGGCGUAGUUGUCGAUCUGCUCCAGAUGGCCAAGCAAAUUGGCCCGCAGUACGAAGCCGCCGAACACGAAGAUCUGACCGGGGAGAAAAGCCUCACCCUAGACCAUGUUGUUGUUGAUCGAAGGAGCCAUCAAGCCUCGCAGCAACGACACAGAGGACCUAUCAAUGAAAGCACCAAUGUCGGUGUCAAAUCCGGCGGAUCUCGGGUAGGGGGUCCCGAUCGAUGCGUCUAAGGCUCAUCGUAACAGGAGGCAAGGGACAUGAUGUUUUACCCAGGUUCAUGCCCUCUCGAUGGAGGUAAAACCCUACUUCCUGCUUGAUUGAUAUUGAUGAUAUGGGUAUUACAAGAGUUGAUCUACCACGAGAUCGUAGAAGCUAAACCCUAGAAGCUAGCCUAUGAUGAUUAUGAUUCUGAUCGUCCCUCUAAGGACUAAACCCUCCGGUUUAUAUAGACACCAGAGAGGGCAAGGGUUUACAUGGAGCCGGUUACAAAGAAGGAAAUAUAAUAUCCGGAUCGCCAAGCUUGUCUUCCACGCAAAGGAGAGUCCCAUCCGGACACAGGACGGAGUCUUGAGUUUUGUAUCUUCAUGGUCCCACAGUCUGACCAAGGUACAUAGUCCGGCUGUCCGGAUACCCCCUAAUCCAGGACUGCCUCCGGCGGCCGGAGCAGCCUGGCGAUGCCUUUGGUCACUGUCGGAUAUUGGGUUCCGGCAAAACCCUUAAGGUUCUAACACUGGGGUGCGCACGAAGAUAUCUCCCUACUGAAACACGCUGUCAACCUCGCCGCGAACUCUAAGCUAGCUCGAUGAACAACACAAGAGACACAAGAUUUAUACAGGUUUGGGCCACCGUUGUGGUGUAAUACCCUACUCCUGUGUGUGGUGUGGUGGAUUGCCUCUUAGGCUGAUGAUGAACAGUACAAGGGAAGAACAGCCUCGCGAGGAGAGGUGUUCUUGUGCUUGGUGGUGUGUAGAUGAACUGGGUUCAGAUCCGGGGUCCUCUUCUACUAUGGUGGCUAGCCCUAUUUAUAGAGGCCCUGGUCCUCUUCUCAAAUAUUGAGCGGGAAGGGAUCCAACAACGACCAUUUUGAAAGGGGACAGCUAGUACAAGCUAUCCUGACUAAAGGUAGUCUUUGCCUCCCAAAGGCGCUGGUGGUGACGCCGUCUUGGGCUCCAUGGUGACCUCCGUCCUGCCAUCUUGCUGGUCUUGGUCUUGUUGCAUCGAUAUGGAAACCUUUGCCUGAUGCCUCAGUACUUCGCGCUUGCACUUGCCCCCCUUUGCAUUAAAUAGGAAAUGAGGACACUGUGCGGGCUGGCGCCCGCCUAGCGCCCGCCUGGCCUUGAUCGUCAUGGUUUGCGUCAUGAGGACCUCGCGAGGUACCCCUUUCCUUGAUCUCUCCGUCUCCCUCGCGAGCCUGCCUGGUGAGGCCGCCCCUGAGGAGGCCUUGCGUUGUCUGCCCCGCGAGGCUUGGCCCCUCGCGAGGGUCUUGAGUGUUGGUUGAUGAAGACGGGCCGUACUGGGCCACUGGUGGAGCCAUGUCGUGGGCCGCAGGCAGGCAUGUCUGGGGACCCCCAUUCCCAGAACGCUGACAGUAGCCCCGGGCCCAAGGCGCGCUCGGACUUGGCUUAGCGGCGAAGCCAAAGGGCAAGUGCGGUGCGCCACGGGCCCCAAUAGAAUGCGGCCUUGGUCGACGCGUGGCGACUGUUUGGACGUGGGCGUCUCCGCUUCCCCACGCUGCCUCGGCAACUGCCCGACUUGACGAGUCCCUACUGCAUGCAAAAAGGGUCAUCAUUACCUGCGAUCAUGGAGGUUGAUGGUUGGCCUCCCUUUGACUAUAAAUGAGGGGGGGGGGGCGAUAGGCCCCGUUGUCCAUCUCUUCUUGCUCCGCCUGCUUCUUCUUCCCUACUCUAACUCCAGUCUUGACGCCUAUGGCACCGAUCCGCAGGUUCUUGGCCGAGGAGAAGGGGAAGGUUCCCCGGGACUGGCCCGAUCCGUCACGCCGAAGAAGAGGCCGGCCCACCGCCAUGGUGAGGUCAUGGGGCUGGAGAUGACGAGGCCUUGGUGCGAGCGCCACCUCCUGGGUUCCCGCUACCCCUGUACGCCUAGGCUGACGGCUCCGGAGAAAGGGACGGCAAGCGACACCGCCCACGCUGUAGGCGAGGUCAGUGAACCGCGGCGACGCGCGCCGUUGCUCCUGGAGUCCACUCCGUGGACUCCUCUCGCGAGCUCGUGCUGCAUGCGGCGAUGCCUCCAAGCACCUGGAUCUGCUUCCCUUGUUCUUUGCCACCGAGAUGCCGCCGAGGGGGCCUCUCAAGCUUUGGCUGCAACACGCCGACUGUGGCGCUCCGGCGACUAGAGCAGAGGUUGAAGUCGUCUCCCCAGGCAAGAUCUGCAUGACCCGAGGUUGGGGCGAGGUCGCUCGGGUCUGUCGAGCGGGGGGUGCCCUCGUGAUUCAUUUUGAAUACGAUGGCGCCUCUUUUUUGUUCUUUAAGGUCUUCGACGCGGAAGGCUGCCGCCUGGAGUGCUGCCCCAAAGGAGGCAGUCAGGACAUUGACACGGCAGGGGCCGGGCCCGUCGUUCGCUCCCCCAAUGGAUCCCCCAAUAGCAGCAGCGAUGCUUGGGAGUCCAGUGACUCUCCUGAACUCUUCGAGACUCCGGAGACGAGCGACGACAGCUACGUGCCCUCGAGCUCGCGCCGUGCUUGGGGCCGGGUGGUAGCAUCAGGCCGUCGCCGCGGCUGAUCUGGAUGGGGUUGGCGCCGGUCUCCCAUGGCCCACUGUUGGAUGGCGUCGGCCACGGAGCCGCGUGUAGUUAGUGCUCAUCAGAGUUCUUUCCUUUUGUUCCCUGCAAGGAAUCAAGAAACACCCCGCGGGGGUGUGUAAAGGUUCUGUGGUGUCCUUUGCUGAUGUUAUCAUUAUCAUGAAAUCGUGCGGGUGCUUAUCCUGUCCCAGCUUGGUUCCCCCCUUGCGACCUCGUGACGACUUGGUGCUCUACGCUGACAGGUCCCGGUCCCUAGGCAGGCUUCAGCCGUCGCUGGUAUGCCAGGUCGCAAUGCUGUGGUCAAGGCUAGGAGGUGGGCGGCCUGAGGUCCAGUAAGAGCCCCUGAGGCGUGAUGCUUAGGAGGUCCCCUUUAACGCGCAAGCUGCCACUGAGAGGCGAGAAAGGAACACAACGUUGCCGUCACAGAGCCGCAGCAAUUAAGGAUCUCGUGCUGUAACGAUUAGUUGUUCCAGGUGUGGAACUUAUCUUGGUAAUCUGGAGUUGUUCCUUUGCGCUGCACCAGACUUGUGCAUCCGCAGCUGGGAUGUAGCUAGGUUAGGCCCUCGCGAGCUUCCCCCUUAUCCCCGUACUCUCCUUCAUGCUCUGCGUCCUCAGGUCCCGGCCCUCGAGCGAGCUCAGCCGCCGCUGGUAUGCCAGGUCGCGAUGCCGUGGUCAAGGCCAGGGGGUGAGGGCUGGAGAGCUAGUAAGAGCUCCUGAGUCGCGAUGCUCAGGAGCCCCCUAUUAACGCGCAAGAGGAUCGCGUUGGAAAGAGAGCGAGCUCGUGGUGCCGUCUGCUGAAAUCCUCAGGAGGUGCCUGUAAAUCAGCACGAGAAAAACACGGGUUGCCAUUACGAUUGCCGGCGGGCCAUUGGCUGCUCCCAGAGAGUGGUGAUGGCACUGAGGGCCUGGUGAGGCGACGCGCGUGGGGCUUCCGCGUGCCAGAGCUCGACUUCUCAGAUUUGUCGGCAUUGCAGGGACAGACCCCUGCGCAAGCAUCGUGCCAGCAUGAGCGGCUCCAGUGGUAGAUGUCAAUCGAGCGGGCAAUAAUCACAGGCAGGUUAGGCAUGAAAGGCAAAUACGCUUAGGUAAAUGCAGGAAGGAUACAUGCCACUGGGUCAGGCCCGAGCGGCUUGGCGAUGAUGCAGCCCGAGGGGCGCCCCCAGCAAGGUAAACUAAAGACAUAAGAAAAAGGGAUACAUGCCGCUGGGACGGACCCAUGCGGCCUGGGAAUGAUGCAGCCCUGAGGGCGCUCCCAGCUGAAAUGAACUUGGAAGAUGUCACCUGGUACCAUUGUAGAGGAGGUGUCGGGGUAGCUAAAGAUGCACGGUGGAGAGGCCGACCCUCACGAGCCACCAGAGCCCUAAGCCUCAGGAGGCUCUGGGGGUCUAGGCGGUUCCUUGAGGACCAUCUCCAUCUCCACUAGGACCGCAUGAUGCCUGGCCUCCCGAGCCACCAGAAUGCUCUGCAGGUGGUGCUGGUAGGUGGAAGCCGCGUUCGGCAGGCCGAAAGGCAUGCGAACGUAGCUGUGCGGCGGACCCUCACAGCGUCCCACGCGCAAAGGCCAGAGGCACUCCUAAAAUGCGGCUCGGUUGAGCCCUGGGAUGUCGACGCAGACGCGUAGCCCACCAUCCUCGCCUGGAUGGGGAGCCACGCCCGGCAAGCGGCGAUCACCGCACACCGCUCUUGCUUCCUGAAGCUCCUGAGUGGUCUUGGUGAUAAACUCCUGAGGGUUGGGCUUUCCACGCCCUGUGCCUUCUUGAGGGAAACGUGCUGCGAAGCAUGCGUCCAAGUGAUGCCCAAGCGCCUCCCUCGUGAUGUUGGCAAAGUCUGAGGCCCUCCAGAAGCGAGCCCCCGAGCCCUGCCCGAGGAGGGUGUCGGGCGCGCCUUCCUAUGCGAUGGAAGGAGGCGCCCCUUGAACGGGCGCCGAUCCUGACGCGGCACCACCUGAGAUGCCGACCUCCCGAGGCCUCGCGCUGAGCGAUUGCUUCUUAUUCUUGGGGAUGGCCUCUAGAGAGUUCUCGCCCUUGCCCUCCGGGUCCUUGAUUGAUGCAGCUUGGAAGGCACGCUCGAGGGAGCACACCGCAUCUCUUUCUUCGCAGGGGACCGUGAUGAUUCCACUGCUUCCUGGCAUCUUGAGGACGUUGUAGCCAUGGUCUGUCACUCCCAUGAACUUGGCCAGGGCUAGAUACCCGAGGAUGGCAUUGUAAGGCAGGUGGAUGUGGGCGACGUCGAAGUUGAUGAGCUCGGUGCGGUAGUUGUCGCGCUUGCUGAAGGUGACAGGGAGGCGGACCUGCCCUAUCAGGGUGGUGGAACCGUCAGUAACUCCUGAGAAAGGCUUGGUAGGCUGAAGUUUAUCAUAUGGUACUUGAAGGUUGUCGAACAUCUCAACGGAAAGGACGUUAAGCCCUGCGCCGCCAUCGAUGAGGGUCCUAGUGACUUGCAUGUUGCUAAUGACUAGGGAGCAGAACAUCGGGAGGACGCCAGCAGUAGCCGCACACUUGAGUUGAUCUGCUGAGCUGAAGGUGAUGGCGCACUUGGACCACCUGAGCGGGCGCAUGGCCUCAAGCCAGGAGAGGACUGCAUUCACCUCGCGAGCAAACUGCUUGAAGAUGCGCUGAGAGGCUGGGGCCUGAGCUCCGCCCAAGAUGCAUGCGAUAGCACGUGGCUCCUGGAAGCCCCCAACCCCCUCGUCCUGAUGGUGGUCAUCAUUCCUUCUUGGCGGCGGCGGCAGAGGAGGAAGACCCGUGUUGCCCUGUGGGCGGUCCUCGCGAGGCUGAUCCCUCCAGGCGCCCUAGCGAGGCUGGUCCUGCCAGCGAUCCUCACGAGGUCGGUAACGCCACUCCUGACAAGGGCCACGGUCGUCCCAUCGUCCUCCGCCUUGUCCUCCUCCUCGGUCGUAGCCCCGAUCGUUGUGCUCGGGGCGUCGACCGAAGUGUCCUUCUCGAACGGCCCUGAGCUCCUGGCAGUGGCUGGUGUUGUGGGUGUCACUACAAAAAAAAGA